rnacentral:lncRNA from 1 species
GACUUCGACAAGCAGUCGAAGAGCAUCCGUAUAGAUUUACGGUACAUUGUUACAGUCGUUUAUAUUCCAGCAGUCAAAACUGAUAGACUGCUUGACUAUCGGUGAAUCUCCAUACUACCUUCUACAGCCAGACGCCCAGCACGUUCUCGAGCAGGCAAGCACGUAAUACGACAAAAAGUGGUGAACCCGACGAGAAAGCUUGAGAUAGAAGGUAUUGGAUUUCGGUUGAUUUUAUCUUUAUUUUUAUGAAAAACGAAAAUAAAAAUUUUGAAGGAUUUUUGGAAAGAGUUUCUGGUGGGGAUUCUUCUAAAAGACAAGGUAUGCACAUGGAUCCAUCUAUUGCUAGUUUGUUUCAAGCCUUCUCAUUGUCAAUGCAGCAACAGCAAAGCAAUGAUCGAAAGGAAGCUUUGGCAACCAAAGCAUUGCAAGCAGUGGUCAAUAAAAUUGAUCAAUUUGAUGGGAGGAAUAUUUCAAGGUAUUUAAGAUGUUAUGUUCGUGAAAUGGAAUUAAAUCGGAUUUCUGAGAAGAAAAUGGUUGCACUAUUUGGACUUGCCACGAUACCGGAGAUAAGAGACCACAUUACAUCGAUUACAGAUCGUUAUGGGAAUUCAUGGGAGGUUUUUUCACAUGCAUUGAAAGACAAAUAUUUCUUGAAAGAUGCUGAUCGCGUUACUAAGAAGCUGUUUCUGGGAUGGAUUGAACGGCCCAAUAAGAAUUUGCAAGCAACAGAGCUACUAAGGGAAUUUGAGAGGCAGUACUCUCAAUUAUCGAAGGUAGAAAAAUUGACAUUGGAGCCGAACAAAGUUGAUCUAUUUCUUCAAGCUGCUGAUGGAGAAUUGCAAGGGAAAUUAGAACUCCUUCUUGAAGACAAAGAAGAAGAUGAAGGAUUGACAACAAAGUGGAAGAACGUUGAAGAUGCGAUGGGGUUGCUUACAAAAAGAGAAAGGAGGAAGGAUAGAAGCAAUAUUCCGAAAACAGUACAAGCACCCAAAGCUCCAGUACGUACAACACCACCAACAAUGCCUACAGUUCAACCUUCGACAUCCUUAUCAAAGAAAGCAGAUAUGGGGAUGGAAGAAAUUAUACGAGGAAUGGCAAAUCUUCAAAUCAAAUUGGCAAGACUUGAAGAGAAUACUUCUAUAAACAAUUCGAAGAAUGUUUCAAAACAAGGAUACGUAUAAAGAUGCAUUGGGUGUGAUGAUGCUUCACACACUAGAAAAGAUUGCAAUGAAUUUAAUAAUAUGAUACGGCAGGGAAUUAUUUGCUGGAAAGAUGGGAAGAUAGCAUUGAAAGAUAGGGAGGAUCUUCUUCAAACCAAUUUUGGCAAGGGAGGAAUGAGAGCAUUGGUUCAAGAUUACUUAAAAGAGCAUGAAACAGUAGGACGAGAAAGUGCAAGUUAUGGUGCUAGAGUAGAUGAUGAAAUUGGUGGAAGUACGGAAACUAGUGAGUUUUAGGCUUCUGCCGUUUCUACAAUGCAAGAAGGAAAAUUACCUGGAGAAGCGUUAUUGAGGACUGCAGCUACAAUACGAGGUAGAACAGGUUGGGAGGAUCUUGUUGAGUCUCUUUCAGUUCAUGCAUAUAUUGCUAAGAGCCAACAUGAAGCUUUGAUGGAAGAAAAGAGAUGAGGAAAUUUUGAUGAUACUAGAGAAGGAAAUUCUUCUAAGAGGCAAACUCGAGGAGACAAGGCUCGAGAGGCAGCUUCACAAGAAUUGCCUGUAAAGGAUACCUCAUCAUCAUUGAGAGAAAAAACAACGGAGACAAAAGAUAAGGGCAAAUCAAUUGCUUAUAAGCUACUUUCUGACAUUGAAGCAGCAACAGAUUUGAAAGGGGUGUUGGAAGAACGUAUAUUAAGCGUUAAGGUGGAAUUCACUUUGAAAGAAGUCUUGGAAAUUGCAAAGAAGGAGUUUCAUGAUGUCAUCAUUGACAACAUUAAGCGAAAGAGGUAAUUGAUGGGCGAAACUGGAAUGAGUCAUGCUAUUGAUGCAAGAAUAUGUAGAGAUGAAGAAAAGGUUGAUAUUGGUUACAAGCAACCAACAAAUGAAAAGAAUGGGUAUAAUCAACGAGUAUGUUUCGAAGAUUCUAUUGACAAGGAAAUGGAAACUUUGAGCCAUUAUACUCGAAAAUAUUGGGCAAGGGCAACUACUGAGGUAUUGGUGAAAGUAGGAGAUAUAGAAGAACCAAUAGUUGCUUUAGUCGAUCAUUGUUCUGAAAUAAAUCUCAUGUCUAAAGAUCUUUAUAAGAAGCAAAAAUGGCCAAUUGAUAUGGAACAUGGAUGGGCAAUUCGAGCAGCUAAAAACACACGGGGCGAAUUAUAUGGAGCUUGUCCAGAUGUCAAAAUUCGGAUUGGAGAUGUUGGGAUGGAGUAGCAUUUCUUUGUUCAAGAUACAACGUCUUAUCCGUUGAUUUUAGGACAACCUUAUAUUACGGCAACACGGAUGGAAACAAAAGUACUAGACGAUGGUUCUACUUAUGCAAGGGUACGUAGCAAGGAUGGCAUGAAAGUUGUAUAAUUUCUAACAGUACCUCCUAACCAUGAACGGAAUCGAGAUAGGUUGAGGGAAAAACCAUUGCCAAAGAUUGUUGAAGGAUUUAAGGAUUUUGGGGAGGUACCACUGUAAAGCAAGAUUAUGGAGGUACAAAAGAGGAGGUACUCUCGCGAGAUGAAGGUGCCUUUGAUGCGAGUUUUAUUGGUAUAUUGGAGAAUGGAAAUAUUAUGUAUAAGAAAGUUGAUGAUUUUAAAAGAAAAGAAAGAAAAAGAUUAUAUAAUAUUGAAGGACAAUUACGCAAGAUAAGUGCAUUGCAAGAGGAUGAGAGGAUUUUGGGUGUUUAUGAAGAAAAUGGGCUGGAAGAUUCAUUGGAAUUGAUUACAUCUAUUGGGUUAGGGGAUAAUGAUAAGAUUGUUGAGAUUCAUUCGAGAGAGGUUUAUACCAUGCUUGAAUCUUUUCAAGCACCAGAAGUCACAGUAGAGACGAGAUAUAAAAUGGCAGAUAAGAAGGUAAAGCCUGUUGCCGGACCAUUACCAGAGGAUUCUAAAGAACAAAUGGGAGAAGCAUCAAAAGAAGCAAGUUUAAGAGAUCCAAUGAGUAUUGGACAUCAGUUUACUGAAGAGACUUUUGAAGAAUUGAAGAUUGGUUCUGAUGGUUCUUUAUUAUUUGAGGAAAUUACUUGCUUCAAAAAGAUGUUGGCUAAACAAGGUAGAUCGUUUGUCUUUGAAUCUCAUGAAAUUGGGUGUGUGGAUCCAAAUAUUAUAACACCUAUGGUUAUCUUCACUGUACCGCAUGUACCUUGGAAUCUAAGACCGAUUCCAGUACCGAGGGCACAUUUACCUAAAUUGGUGGAACUAUUAAAAGAAAAGAUAAAGAUGAAAAUAUUGGAACCUUCAUUUGCGCCGUAUUCUAGUCGAUGGUUUACGGUACCUAAGAAGAAUGGGUCACUACGGUUUAUUCAAGAUAUGCAACCGAUGAAUGCAGUAACUGUCAGGAAUGCAGGAAUUGGACCUAUUGUAGAUGAAUUUACUGAGGCGUUUGCUGGAAGGGCGAUCUAUUCAAUGGGUGAUUUGUAUUCAGGUUAUGAUCAAUUUCAACUUGCCAAAGGAAGUAGAGAUAUGACAACGAUGAGGACACCGCUUGGAUUGGUUAGAAUGUGCACUCUUCCUCAAGGCGCGACCAACUCAGUUGCGCAUAUGAUGAAUGGGAUGAAUAAGGUAUUGAGAGAUUUUAUUCCGGAAAAGACUAUACCUUUUCUGGAUGAUGUUCUUAUAAAAAGGUACAGAGAAGGAGACAAGGAUGAAACUUUAAAUAAGAAGGGGUGUCGCAAAUAUGUUGUUGAUCAUAUACAAGAUUGUGAAAAGAUGUUAACUCAGCUUGGAGAAGUUCAUCUUACAUUAUCGCGUAUGAAGUCCGUAUUUGGAGUACGAGAGGUUGUGAUUGUUGGAUAUUUAUGUGGAUCUUAUGGAAGAAAACCAGAUCCGACUAAAGUUGAUGCAAUUGGAAGGAUGAAAGAGGAUUGUGAGUCUUUAACAGAGGUUCGCAGGUUUUUAGGUGCAUGUGUAUUUUAUCGAAUCUGGAUCCCUCAUUAUACUCACAUAGCGGAUCCAUUAUAUGAUCUGUUACGCAAGGAUUACCGAUUUAAAUGGGAAGAAAGGCAUAUUCAAGCAAUGCAAAGAUUGAAGAAAUUAUUGAUGUCACUUCCAAUAUUGAGGAAGGUUGAUUAUAAGUGCAAUAGACCAAUGAUUCUUACUGUGGACGCUAGUCCAAUUGCCAUUGGAUGGGCUAUGGGUCAAGAUGAUUUCAGUGGGAAUAGAUUUGCAGUUCGAUUUGGAGCUAAAGUUUUAAGUAUUCGUCAGCGUGCAUAUUCGCAAGUCAAAAGAGAACUUUGGGGAGUUGUUUCGACUAUGAAAGCUGAAGAGGACUAUUUGAUUAGGGCAGUAGUAGUAAUUGAAACAGAUUGCUUGCCAUUGCUUGGAAUGAUUAUUAACUGUUCAACGCCAGAUAUUGCAAUGUUGAGAUGGAUUGCUUAUAUUAAGUCACUAAAUCUAGAAUUUAAGCAUGUUACUGGGAAAGAAAAUUUAGUAGCAGACAUGCUAUCUUGAGUAAGAUACGAGAGGGAGGACGAAAUGGUUGAAGACAUUGAUGACGUCGGAUUGAAAUUCUAUUCAAUAUCAAAUCUCAACAGGGAAGACAAGCUAUUUCUUAAAGAAUCUUAUGAAGGAGAACUAUUGGAUAUUGGUCAUUACUUGAAUACCUUGGUCCAUAGAAAAAUUCAAACAAAUAAGAAAAAAAGCAUAUGGAUUUUUACUUCGAGAUGGAUUCUUAUGGAAGAGACCAAAGAAAGGAAUUGGGAUGCCACAACGAGUGAUAGGCAAAAAAGAAGAAAAACUAAAAUUAUUAAAGGAGUUCCAUGAUAGUUUAUGGGCAGGGCAUAGAGGAAUCUGGGCUACUUUUGCUAAACUCAAGGAACGAUAUUAGUGGAAAAAUAUGUAUCGAGAUGUGCUCUCAUUUGUAGAGUCAUGUGAAAUUUGUCAAUCGUAUUCUAAUAUCCGACAUCGAGAUGGUCUUCAUCCUACGUAUCCUCUAGCUAUUCAUUUUAAAUGGAUUGUUGAUUUGGUUACUAUGUCAGUUAGGUUAUGGCAGAUGAGAUAUUUGGUUUUAGCUCGUGAAGAUUUAUCAAAUCAAGUAGAAGGAAGAGCAUUGAGGACAAAAUCUACAGAGGAGAUUUGUAGGUUUUUGCUUAAAGAUGUCAUUUGCCGCUACGGAUGCAUAAGAAAAAUCAUUGCAGAUCGUGGAGAAUUAAAUGUACAAGAAGCUCGUAAGUUCUUUGAAAGAUGUGGAGUUAAACUAUCACUGACUACUACUUAUAAUCCGGAAGGGAAUGCAAAAAGCGAACGCGGUCACCCACCGAUUGUGAAAGCAUUAGUUAAAACUUGUAAUGGGAGGAUUAGAGAGUGGCCACGACUUUUGUCAUUUGCAUUAUGGGCUGAUCGAACAACACAUAGUUUGGUGACAGGAUAUAUGCUAGUAGAACUUAUGACAGGUCGAAAACCAAUUAUGCCGAUUGAAGAAAAGGUACUUAUUUGGAGUAUGCUACCAUGGGAAGAUGGAUUGAUAAGAGAAGAACUUCUGGCUAUUAGGAUUCGACAAUUGGAGCAAAGAUCGGAAGAUGUGCAGAUAGCAUUGGAAAGGUUAAAAAGAGCAAGGUUACAAAAUAAGGCUCGAUUCGAUAAGCAACAUCGAUUUUGACCUAAAGCAAUCAAGGAAGGUGACUAGGUACUUGUUUAUGACAAUAGUCUGAAUAAUCAAUAUAGUACUUUGCGGAAAUUUUCAAAAUAUUGGUUUGGACCAUAUGUAGUAACAACUCUUCAUGAUAAUGCGACUUACUCAUUACAGGAGUUAGAUGAUACAAAAUUGAAAAUACCAAUUGCAGGGAAGCGAGUAAAAAUAUUUAAACGAAGACAUGUGGAGAUGAAUAUGGAAGACCUUAAUGAAGGUAUAGAGAUUCCGUAGCAAGAAGAUGAAAGUGAUUUAGAUAAUGAAGGUGACGAAGAUGAACUGGACAAAGACGUAGAGAAUAUAUUCUAAAUCAAAUAGCAAUUGGAUAAAUUGGUGCAUACCGGAGGAUGCACAGGUUCAGAGAAGGUGGAUGUUGUGUUGUAACACGAGUAUACAGUGAAAAUAAAAAGAAAAGGGAAUUUUAUUAAUAUUCAGUUACCUUGAAUAUUGGGAGCAUCGACCAACUCUAGUGCAAAUACUGAGUGGUUAGGUUCAGUCACUCCAUUACAAUCAGCCGGGGCAUACUGAAAUGCUCUGUUUGAUUCCAAUAACGGGAGUCAGCAAAAAGGGAAAGGACCAAUUCAACACGACGGGUGAGCCUGGUUCGAAGAGUCAAUUGGAUCCAAUUUCAAGACAUCCAAUCUAGGUCCUAUUUUGGACCUCUUACCCAAUAUGAGACCUGAGUUGGUCGGGCAAAUCAAUGCAAUCUAAUUAUGGGAAAAUCCAGGUCUUACUAUGGGCCUCAGCCAAUCUGACGUGAAGGACCAAUUUGAUCCAAUUAUGGGAACAUCCAGAUCUUACUAUUAGACUCUUACCCAAUAUGAGACCUGAAUUGGUCGGGCGACUCAAUGGGAUCCUGAUUACGGGGCUCCUAUUCCGUUUCAGGCUGUUCCGUCCUUUGUGCCAUUCCGAGAACGUCCUUUCGGUGAAAGAAUCUCUUAAAGGUAAAAAUAGAAGAGAAAGCUCUGACGGCGAGAGUCAAUUUUGGAUCCAAGCUCUAACGGCGGGAGCCAAUUUCAGAUCCAAGACGGAAGAUUGAAGAAAUUUAGAAUUAAAAUAAGAAAUGGGGAGGGGAGAGAAUAGUUUUUAGGAGGGUUUUGAAGGAUUGAGAGAGCUAGCUUCAUGCUUCGGGCGGGGAAAGAAGACAGAGAAUUGGGUUUUAUUUUCUUCAUAGGGUUUUGAGAAGACUGAGGCAAUCGUUGCUGAAGUCAGUGUUGUAAUGAUGAAUCGGGAUUUUUAAUGAAGUGGGUUUGAUUACUCUUGACUGUUUUUGUGAAAUCGAGUUACGUCUGUGAUGAAGAAUUAAAAGGGUGUCUAUAGGAUUGAGUAUGUGGAGUGAAUGAAAUUUAUUGGGUUAAUCUAACAAGACAGUCAGUGGAUACAAGAUCAUGAGUAUAAAGCGGUAUCGAAGAUUAGCAGUUUGGGUUGUUCGGGGUUCUCUGUAACAUCUAGAAACCUACCGGCUGGGACAAAAAGGACUUCAGCGAGCAGUCGAAGGGCAUUCGUAUAGAUUUACGGUGUAUUCUUGCAGUUGUUUAUAUUUUAAUAGUCAAAAACCGAUAGACUGUUUGAAUAUUAGCGAAUCUCCAUACUACCUUCAACAGCCAGACGUCCGACACGUUCUUGAGCAGGAAAGCACGUAAUAAGACACCGUAGUCGCAUCGAACCCCAAAAACUCUAUCUCUAUUUGGUGAAAUAAACACUUCUCUAAUUUGGCAUAAAGUCCUCGCUCGCGUAGUUUUUCCAAGACCAAACGAACGUACUUUUCAUGCUCUUCCUCAUUUUUGGAGAAUAUCAGAAUAUCAUCCAAAUAGAUGACAACAAAAUCAUCAAGGUACUCUCAAAAAAUGUCAUUCAUCAUAUGCUGAAAGACCGCAGGAGUAUUGGUAAGACCAAAGGGCAUGGCAUUAUACUGAAAAUGGCCAUACCUUGUACGGAAUGCUGUCUUCCACUCAUCUCCUUCCUUCAUUCGUACGGGGCUGUAAGCUCCUAUUAGAUCAAUUUUUGUAAAAAUCCUUGCACGUCUAAGUUGUUCUAAGAGACCAGAAAUCAAGGGUAACGGGUAACUAUUCUUCUUUGUUACCUUGUUGAGGCCUCAAUAGUCUACGCACAUCUGCAAUGAGCCAUCUUUCUUCUUCACAAAUAAGAUGGGUACUUUAGCUAAAAAUUUUGAAUGACGGAUGAAGUUCUUGGCUAGAUUCUCAUCGAUGUACUUCUGCAACUCCGCCAACUCCGUCUGCGAUAGAUUGUAGGUUGGGCCAAAAGGCGGUUGUGCUCCUUCCUACAAGUCUAUGGCACAAUAAUAUGGUUGGUGUUUUGGUAGCAUGUCGGCAUUGUUCUUUUGAAACACGUCUUUAAAAUCCUUAUAUUGCUCAGGUAUACUUGUUGUCGAGAUCUUCUCCCCGGUAGUUGGAGCCGCAUAAAUGAUAAACGGUGUGCCUUCCUUGGACGAUCUUAUAAACACUCUUACUCCAAUAAAUAAGGAUUUUUCUAUUCGGAGUUUUCUACUAGGCUUGCUCUUGGGUGGUUUUGUGGGAAAGGUUAUCUUCCGCAACUUCUAAUCUAUGGAUGGUUAUGCUUUUUCAACCAGGAAAGACCAAGAAUAAUAGGAUUUGAUGGGGUUCUAAUAAUAUUGAAAUUAAUAUGACUACUAUGGCCCUUAAACGUCACUUCUAUAGAUUUUGAUUCAUAGGUGACACUACCAGAUAAUAAAGGUCGUCCAUCUAUGACCUCAACGUGAACAGGUUUGGAUUUUUGUAUUAAAGGGAUCUUAUGAUGCUUCACAAAUUCUUCGUUUAAGAAACAAGCAAAUGCUUCUGAAUCUAAUAAUGCUAAGAUUCUCAAUUUUUGAGGGCCAAUAAGCAAAAUGAUUGUAAAGCAAAGGGUAGGUUGAGCAGAAAGAAAGGAACCUGGUUGUUGUUGUAAUAUUUCACUGUGCAGCCGCACAGUUCCUAUUGUGGCUGGGCAUCCUCGUUUUCCUGAAUAAACGCGCCUCUAGUCUUGACAAUAUGUCGAUUUUGCUUCUUGGGGCAGUUUUCAACUUUGUGGCCUUUUUCACCGCAAUACAAGUAUAGACCUUCCUCCAUACGUCGCUUUUUUUUUUCCAGAGUAAGAAAUUUGACACGUGUCGCAUCAAUUUGCAUGUCUUCUACCUUUGAAUGUGAAUUCACGCUGCUUGCGGAUAUAGUUGGUGCAUGGCAAACCGUAUGUUGUCUUGAACGUUGGUCUUGGCGACAUUGAAAUAGGCGGUUAUUACACUUUACAGCUUGGCUAAUAGCUUCAUUGAGCAUUUGUAGAUCAGGAAGAGUUAACAGCAAAUCCAUCACAUCGUCCCUUAAACUCCAAUAGAAUUGACUCAUCAAUGUUUCUUCGUCCCAAUUGAUAUCACAUACUAAUUGCGUGAAGUCUGAUGCAUAGACUGAUGUACAGCGCAUCCCUUGUCAUAGUGACCGGAUCUUUGUUGUAGCCCAUUGAACCUUGUCGUAUUUACCAAAAGCUUCUGCAAAUGCCUCCAAAAAGGUUUCAAAGUUGUUUAGUAUAGACGAUCGUUUUUCAAACAAAGGAGCAAACCAUGAUAGAGCUUGCCUUGUAAGUAAGGUUCCAACAAGCCCAACACAUGACUCCUCCGUUGGAUAGCGUUCGGGCUAUAAAACUGUUAUCAACCUGAUUUGAUUGACGAAUCCUCGAAACUUGGAAUGCGUACCAUCAAACUUGUCCGGAAGGCUAACUCGAGGCUCUUUAUGUUGUAGAACCAGUGGUGCUUGUCGAACCUCAGGCAAAAUUGUUUCUCCAAGUGUAGAAGUUUGAGGCUGGUGCAAUCUAGAUUGUGCCAUCCUAGAUGCUCCAUCAUUAUGAAGCCUUGCCACGACUCCUUCAAUCUCUGCAGUUCUUUGUGAUAAUGUAGCGAGGGUAUUCAUGAUAGCAUCCAACUUGGACUCCGAACUUUCCAUCAUACUAAUAUCUUGGCCUUUGGCCAUUCUAAGAGAAGGACAAAAAUGAAUCUACAAGAAGACAAUAUUGGUUUAGAGGAGGAUACUCCGCAACCUCUAAAAUGCCUUAGAAGCUUCAAGAAAAGGGAUAAUCCACUCUCUCCAAGAAGAAUAAGACUCCAAUAUUGUAACAAAAGAAGUAUCAGUUUAGAGGAGGGUAAUCCGCAACGUCUAAAAUGCUAGUACACUUCCAAGUAGAGGGAUAAUCCGCUCUCUAACGAGGAAGAAACUAACUCUGAUAUCUGAGGUGAGUGAAGUUUCGACAAACUGUCACAGACACAGAAAUACAGACUCGAGAUCUAACAAGAAGUUCAAGAAGAACUGCCAAGAACUAGAUUAAUCAGAUGAGAACAACACCAGAGAAGUGAGCUAGAGCUCCAAGAGAUGUGUUGUCGAGACUGAAGAACUCUUCAGCCUCGAUUCCAAUAUAUAUACUUCUAUUUAGGAAGCUUCUCAAGCAACUUCUACCAACUAGGAAGCUUCUAGAAGGUUCCAAAGACUUACUUCUAGAAGAUUCUAGAGACUUGCUUCUAGAAGGUUCUAGAAACUUGUCUCUAGAAGGUUCUAAAGAUUAUGUCCCUAACAUGCACCAAGAAGAAAUGUGGAGUAAGAUGAGUCUUACUUUUAAUACACUUUACUUAUAGUUGGAGUCUUCAUCUACAAUCAUAUUCAUCCUUCUUUGCUUCAUCCAACUAAAUCCUAAAUUUAUCUUAAUUUAGCUACUACAUAAAAUCUUAACUGCCACUAUAGUAACUUUUUUUAAUUUUUUGUUAUCUUUUCACUAUUACCAACUUACUAUGAUUUAUCUCUAUGUAAUGGCAACUAUAUAAGAUCUUGCUAAUCUUCAACACUCUUACUUUCCAUAGCUAAGUACCUAAUACAUUCUCGAGCAAGACUUCAUGUAAUAUGAUAUUGAUAGUUAUAAAAACAAAUUAUUUACUUUUAUUUGCGAUGAUUACAAGUUAUUCAACUCUUGAUAUUACUAUAUUAAGAUAGAUAGCAUAUAUCAAAUCUAUGAAUCUAGAAUUUAAACACAUAGCAGAGAAAAAAAUUUAAUUUCAAAUAUAUUAUCAAUAGCAAGGUAUAACAAUAAAAAAAGAUAUGAUUGAUUUAGAAGAUGAUGUGGGUAUAAGUUUUUAUAUAUCAAUGAAUUAUUAAAGUAAGAAGAUAUAUAUUUAAAUAUACUAUUAGAUAUAUUUUUAAGAAAUUUAUAUGAAAGAAAAUGAAAAGAUAUUAGAAAGUAUUUGAAUACAUUAAAGCAAUAUAAAGAUUGGACAGAUCAAGAAUUUAAGAAAAUCCACAAAAAAAUCCAUGGAUAUUUUUUAUACAAUAAAUAUUUAUGUAAGCAUCCAAAAAAGAGCAAAAAAGUACUACAAUGGAUGUCAAAGACACAAACUGAAAGAAGAUGCAUAAACUUGUGGAAUCUAUAUCACAAGAGAAGUGACAAAAUAGAAAAAAGUAUGUAUAUUCAAAGAAGAACUAGAAUGGCUAUUGCCAAAGACUAGAAAAUAUAAGACUCUUGAAACUAGAGUAAAAACCAAAAAAAGAAUUGACAAGAGUGAAGAAGGCCUCAUUCUUGUCUCUAUUUAUACUACUUAAUUAAAGAAUAUGUAGCGACAUGCUAUAGAACCUCUAAUAUGCAUCCAACUUGUAAGACACAUGUCUAAUUUUUAAAGUAAGUUUCUUAGGUGUGCACCAUACAUCCAAUUUGUACUAUAAAAGGUCAACAUGUCAAUACGUGGCUUCCUUGUUGGCCAAGUUUUCAACCUAUCAAUCACCUAUAGACAUGUAUAAAGACAAAGCAGUAUCUUUAAAGCUUCUAAGAAGCUUUCUAUAAGAUAUUAUCAUAUUUAUCUAUUUUGACUUAUUUCUACUUAUUUUUAUUAUCUAGAUAAUUAUCAAGAUAAAUAUGUAUGUUCGUAACAUUAUCCCCCUUUCUAGGAACGAGUUCUAUGAAGAACGGUGAUUAUAUAUAGAUGAAGUCUAAGAUGUGUUGAAUUGUAUUUAUCACAUACUUUGUUCUUUAUUUUCUUUGAAGGUAGUUGAUAGGUCCCUUCAACCAUCAAUAAUGUCUCAUACUAGGACAAGAAGACCACCCUGAUAUUUGAUCAUUAUUGAGGCCUUUAUAACUUUCUUCAAAUUAAACAUUAGUAAUAUCAUUACAAAUGGUUCCUAUCUCCUAAAGUAUCACUAAAAAUCAGGAGUCCCUUCCAAGGUCAUGGUACCAAAUGCUUUGUAUCUUCCAUCUAUUUGAGAAAGUACAUAUCAUUCUUUAGGGUCUUCAUUUCAAUUUUGCUAUCACAAAGGUUGUGAUAGUCGUAAUAUCUUAUAAGAUAGCUUAGCAAAUGAUAGCUCUUAAAUGAAUCUCUUGGUUGUUGAUUCUCCAUCUCCUAAGCACUAAAAAAUCCAAAGAAAUAAUGAUAUAAGAUAGAAUAAAAUCUCUAUUGGGCUUGCUUUACUUUAUAACAACGAAUUUCUUGAUUCUUCAUCUUGAUUUUGAUGGAUGUUAUUGAUGAAAAGCUUUAACUUUGCAUGAUGCAUUUCUUAGAUUCCUGGAUGGCUCCUAUAUAUGUUCAUUAAUGUCAUAUCUAUGCCAAUGUAUUGGAUAUUCUAACCUAUUUUGGCAUUGCCUUGAAUCUAAGACUUCUUCUACCUCAAAUUCUUUAUUAUUAUUCACUUCUAUAAGAAGUGGUGGCAUUUGUCUCUCUCUUUGUAUAUCCAUUGUCUCGUAUGGCUCAAGUAAAGACACAAUGAACACAUGAUGGAUUUUCAUAGACUCUAGUAAAUGUAAUCAAUAAACAAUUGGAUUGAUCCAUUCACCAAUGGAAAAUAGUCUAAGCCUACAAUAAUCUAGCUUGUCACAAAGACAAAUAGUUUUAAUAUUAUGACAAAGUAAUCAUAACUUAUCUCCUGCAUGGAAUUGAGGCUGUUUCUUACGAUGGACAUCUACAUUGCCUUUUUAUCAUUCUUGAGCUUCUUUUAAUUGUGCCUUCAUUAUUGUAUGUAGCUCUGACAAUCGAUUUGCCAUAUCUUCUACUGCAAGAUUAUCAACUUUUGAAAAGUCAAAAGUGACAAAUCAUGGAUGAUAAUCGUAAUUGGCAAAGAAAGGUGUUUAUUGAGUAGAAAAAUGUAUCGAAUUAUUGUAAGCAAACUCUGCUUAUGACAAAAAAAUUAUCCAAUCAUCUUGUUGAUAGUUGAUGGUAUACCUCAAAUAUUGCUCUAAAACUUGAUUUAUCUAUUUUGUUUGUCCAUCAGUUUUAAGAUUGAAAGCUGAAGAUAGUUUUAUAUCCACCUUCAAUAUCUUAAAAAGAAUUCUCCAAAAUCUUGAUAAAAACUGUGUUCCUCUAUAUGAUAUAAUAUCCCUUGGUAAUCCAUGAUAGCAAUAGAUGUUGUCAAGGAAGAGUUUAGUUGUUCCUUCACCUAUGAUAGAUUUUGUACAUAGUACAAAAUGUGUCAUCUUGAUGAAAUGAUCUACAAUCACAAAUAUAAAAUCAUAUGAACUUGAAAUUAGAAUAUUUGUGAUAAAAUCCAUAGAGACAAAAGAUCAUGGUUAUUUUGAUAUAGUUAAUAUUUGGAGGAGUCUAUAAGAUUAAUUAUGAGGAGUUUUGGAUCUUGAACAAACAUCACAUAUCUGCACAAAUUUUUUAAUAGCCUUCCACAUUUGAGGCUACCAAAAAUCUCUAGAUAUAAGUUCCAAAGUCUUAUUAUAUCCAACAUGUUCUACUGCAAGGAAAUUGUGAUGAGCUUCAAGAGCACAUAAUAGUACUUCUCCUUCUAGAACAUAUAAACAUCCUUGAAAAUAGAGUAGGUUCUCCUUAAACUCAAAUUUGGAAGUAUCUAGAGACUUAGAAGAACUGUUUUUAAUGUCAUGAACAAGAAGGACUGAGGACAUACUUGCUUGAAUCUGCUUGAGAAAAGUCAAAUCAACAAUCAAUGUUGAUUUUAUUUCUUGGAGAUGAAAUUAUUUUGGCUUUAGUAAAAUUAUCUUUUAUUAGUUAAAAACUGCUUCUCCUUCUUUUGGUAUAAGAUAAGAAUAUUUAAAAAGGACAUCACAAAAAUCUUAUUAUUUUUCUAACCAAUGAGUGAUAUUAAAUUCAAAUCUUAAAAAAAGCAUACUCCAACGAGCCUAGCCAUGAUUCAAAAUACGUGCUAACAUGAAAUACUUAAGAUUCUUGUGAUCUGUAUACAUGGUGUUUGGACUUGAAGCGCCUUCUAAAUAAUGAUGCUAUUCUUGAAAAGAAUCCACAACUACAAGAAGUUCCUUGUUGUACAUCUCAUAAUUAAUCUAGGUUGCUGAAAAUUUUCUUGAAUGAAAAGCUACUGAAUGAAGUUUGUUAUCUGCUCCUAUUUGUGAUAAGACUGCACCUAAAGUAAAGUCAGAUGCAUUUGUCUCCAUAAAAAAUUCUUUGGAGAAGUCAAUGCUAUCAUAAUAUGUGAAGUCUUGCAUGAGAUUGCUUCAGGCACCUGGCUGUGGAAAGUAGAAUGGAAAUUGCAACAACUAAAUUCUAAUUCUAAUAGAAUACUAACUAAAUUCUAAUUAGAUUAUAAUAAUGCUAAGCAAGCUUUAUUUAAUUUAAAAAAAACUUAAAGGAAUUACAAAGAAAUAAUAAGAAAUCUUAAAGAAAUGUUACAAUGAUCACAAAUAUAUCUCAAAUAUAUCUCAAUUUAAUCUUAAUUUAAUCCUAAUUAAAAUCUUAUUAGACUUCAAUCAAACUUUAGGCCAAAAAUUAACUAAAUCUUAAAUCCUAAAUAAAUCCUAAAUAAAUUUUAAUCCCUAAAUCAACUUCUAAUCAAAUCCUAAUUCUAAAUCAAAUCCUAAAUCAAAACCUAAUCAAAUCCUAAUUCUAAAUCAAAUCUUAAAUCUUAAAUCAAAUCUUAAUCAAACUCUGAAUCCUAAACCAAAUCCUAAUCAAAUCCUAAAUUCUAAACCAAACCUUAACCAAAUCCCAAAUCCUAAACCAAAUCCUAACCAAUCUCAAAUCCUAAAUCAAAUCCUAAUCAAUCUCAAGUAAUUCCUACAACAGAUUUAAACCUCAAUAACUAAUGAAUGAACUGUUGAUUUAUAUUCAAAAUUUGUAUACUUUUUAACAAUUAAGUUGACACCAAGUACAAAAACAAUUGAAAAGGAUCAAAAUUACUAAAUAGACAAUAACCUCAAAAAUGUGCUUGGAUAUUAGUUGGCCUCCUUCUCCAACCUUAAUGCCAAUCUUUCAAAGCCAAUAUCACUCCUAUAGAUCUGUUAUAGAAUUUUCAAAAUUACCCAAAAUGUGAAUUUUAUUUUAUUUCACAAAAAUCAAAGUCAUCUAAAAAAAAAUUGACUUUGUAAAGUCUUUAUAAAGUCAUUACAAAUCCAAAUCACACAAAACCAAUGCUCAUAGAAACCUUAUUUAGUCUGCUAUCAAAUUCAACUCUCUGAUCUACUAAAGUAUUCCAGAAUUAUCAUUGAGGCUUGGUUUUAUGCCUCAGGGUCUAAUCUCAAUCUUAGUUUGUGAUUAGUCCUCUCCAAGUAUCAAUAUCUAAUUUUUCUAAGUAAUUUUUUCUAUAAUUUACUCUUAAUUUUUUUUUAUAGAUACUUAUAUCAUUUAUUUUUCCAAUCUACCUUAUUUUACCUUAUUUUUGGUUCUACAAAGUAAGUAGAAGUCACUUUUUAAAAAAAAGUAGUACUAUUACUAAAAGUUUUAUUACCUUCUUAUCUUUUAUCCAUAUUUUUUUACUUUAUGUUUUAACUUGGCUCUUGUAUAAUAAGAUCCAUAUUAUCAUCUAUCACCAUAUAGUCAUGUUACAACAUGACAACACAAUGCAGGAUUGAUACAGAAAUAAAAGCUUUCUUUAAAAAUUCAAAUGAUGUUUCUGUUUUUUUAUUCCUUUUGAGCUUGUCUUUACAAGUUAAGCAUGUGAAUAGCACUACAAUUUGAAAAAAAUUCUUGAUAAAGAUCUGAUAGUAAUUUACAAAUCUCAAAAAGUAUUAUACAUCUUUUACUAUUUUUAGAAUCUUUCAGUCCAUCAUUGUGUGAACUUUUUUAAGAUCCAUCAUUAGACCAUUGUUUGAAAUGAUGUAUCUUAAGAAGUCAAUUUGAAUAGCAUGAAAUACAUACUUUUCCAUCUUGGCAUACAAUCCUACAUCUCUAAAUUUUUGUAACACACUACAAACAUGAACUUCAUAUUCUUCUACAUCCUUAGAGUAGAUUAAAAUGUCACCUAAAUAACAAAUAGCAAAAUCAUCUAGAAAUUCAUAAAAAACAUCAUUCAUAAGAUGUUGAAAAGCAAUUGGUGCAUUUGUGAGUCCAAAAGGCAUGAUGUUAUAUUCAAAGUAUCCAUACCUUGUUCAAAAUGUAGUUUAUCAUUCAUCUCCUUUUUUAAUGCGAACUAGAUUAUACAUUCUUUGUAGAUCUAUUUUUGUAUAUCUCUUAGCUUGAUUUAAUUGAUCAAGAAGUCCAAAUAUCAAAGGCAGAGGAUAUCUAUUCUUGAUAGUAAUCUUGUUGAGUCCUCGAUAAUCGACGCAUAUAUAUAAUGAUCAAUCCUUCUUCUUCAUAAAUAAGAUAAGAGCUCUUACAAGAGAUUUUGAAUGGCAUAUGAAAUUCUUGGCCAACUUCUCAUUAAUAUACUUCUUGAAUUUAGCCAACUCAUUUUUUGAUAAACUAAAGAUUAGACCAAAUAGCAGCUGAGUUCUUUCUUUAAGAUUGAUUGAAUAAUUAUAUGGACAAUGCUUCGAGAAAAAAAUUUGCAUUAUUUUUGUCAAAAACAUCUUCAAAAUCUUGAUAUUGACUUGGAAUUCCACUUGAAAUCUUUCCAUCAUUUAAAAUGGAUGUGGCAUAAAUAACAAAAGAUGAUCCUUCUUUUGCAGCAUGCAAAAAAGCUUUUGUACCUACAAGUACAAGUUUGACUAUACUAGACUUAUAGCUUUUUAUUGGAUUAGAAAAAUUCUUAAUGAUGUUUGAAAAAAAAUCAAAUUUAUGAGAAAUCCAAUCUAUCAUAGGAUUAUACUUUUUUAGCCAUGUUAAAUCUAAAAUGACUAGAUUGGAUAGAGAUCUAAUUAUAUUAAAAAUUAUGUAACUAUUAUGACUAUUUAUUACUACAUCUAUAAGAAGUAUUUCGUGAGUAACAUCUCCAAAAGAUAACGGACGACUGUCUAUGACUUUUAUGUGUACAGGUUUAGUUUUUUCGUACUAAUUAUAUAUUAUGACUUUUAAGAAAUUUUUCAUCUAAAAAACAAGCAGAGAUUCCUGAAUCUAUUAAGAUAGAGGCUUUGUAGUUAUUAGAUCCUAAACACACAUCUAUUGAAAAUAAGAAGAGGGUUCUGAGGAGUGAAUAGGACCUUUAUUAGGAAUUACACAAGAUUCUAGCUACAUAGUUCCUAUUGUACCUAGGCAAAUUUAUUUUUUGACAUGUUUUCAUCUUUGAUAGUAGUACUCCUCAUUUUGUAGUUGCCUCAUUUCUUUGGAUAAUAUUGAUCAAUGUAUUUAGCUUCUCCACAAAUAAAUAUAGUCCUUCUUAAUAACAAUAAAUCUUUUCUUAUUUGAUAAGAAGUUUAAAACAUACUGCAUCAAUUUGCAUGUCUUCUACUUCCAAAUGCUUAGAUUGAAAAGUAUUGAUAUCAUCAUUGAAUUGUAAUAACAUUGAGGUUUCCUUAUGUGAUUCUUAAAUCAAAACUCAAAAAACUGAAUGUCACAUUUCACAACAAAGUUAAUUGCUUGACUCAAUGUUUCUGGAUCAAAUAGAUUGAACAUCAAUUUCUUUACUUCAUAUUAUAAUCCAUAGAAAAAUUGGCUGAUGAUUGCUAUAUCAUCGUAUUUGAUAUUUGUAGCUAAUUAUCAAAAUUAUAUAACAUAUAAUGUCAUUGAUCGAUUGCCUUAUCACAGGAUAUGAAUCUUAUUAGUUGCAACAUGGAUUGCAUCAUGUUCUCUAUACAUAGAUCAAAACUUUGCUAAGAAUGCUUCCAAAUUAUCUAAUAUUGAAUCACGUCAUUUAAGAAUUGAUGAAAACCAUGAUAAAUCAAAGCUUGAAAGUAGUAUUUCAAUAAACCUAACUUAUGAUCCUUGAAUUGGAUAACUUUGAGAUUGUAGUUCAAUCAUCACUUGUACCUGAUUGAUAAAUCCUUGAAAUUUAGAUCUUUUGCCAUUAAACUUCUCAGGCAAUCUAAUUUUUGGUUCUUUGAAAUUUAAACAAUGUUUUAUAGUAGGAAUAGUAGUAUGGCUUAGUAUAGAUAUUAAAGCAAUUCCAAUCAUCUCUAUAUCUUCAUUGCUUGAUAAUCUUAUUGCUCUUUAUGGUGGUAGAAUAAGUUGAUGCAUUGCAAGUAUUAAUUCUCUCAUUUGUUCUUGCAUUUGAGCUAUUGCAUUCUUCAUUUCAGCAAGCUCUGGUAUGCUAGCAUAAUAAAAAGAAAGGUGUCUAUUCUUACAAAAUAUAAUACUCAAGAAUCAAGAAAAAAAUUUCUAUAAAUAAUAUCAAUUUAGAAGAGGGUAAUCCACAACUUCUAAUAUGCUUAUGUCUUAUGAAGAAAAAGGAAUAAUCCAUUGUUAAUUAAGAAAAGACAAAGCUUUGAUAUUGUAUGUGCACUCUUGUCAAUCUAUCAAUGAAAAAAACUAUAAGAAGAUACAUAAAUUUGUGGAAUCUAUGUCAAAAGGAAAGUGACAAAAUAGAAGAAAGUAUGUAUAUUCAAAGAAGAACUGAAAUAGUUAUUGCUAAAGACUAGAAAACAUAAGACUCUUAAAACUAAACUAAAAACCAAGAAAGGAGUUGAUAAAAGUGAAGAAGCCUCACUCUUACCUCUAUAUAUACCACUUAAUUAAGGAAUACGUGGCGACAUGCUAUAGAACCUCUAAUACGCAUCCAACUUGUAGGAUACAUGUCUAAUUUGCAAGACAAGUUUCAUAGGUAUAUGCCAUAUGUCCAACUUAUAUUAUAAGUGGUCAACAUGUCGAUACAUGGCCUCCUUAUUGGCCAAGUUUUAAACCUAUCAAUCACCUAUAGAUAUGUAUAAAGGCAAAACAACAUCUAUGAAGCUUUUAAGAAGCUUUCUAUAAGAUAUUAUCAUAUUUAUCUACUUUGAUUUACUUCUACUAAUUCUUAUUAUUUAAAUAAUUAUCAAGAUAAAUAUGUAUGUCUAUGACAAUGGAUAAUAUGUUGUUCAAAAGUUCAAUACAAAAUUAUUAAGGAAUUUUAUGAAAGUUUAUGAGUAGAGCAUUGAGGUAUUUGAGCAACAUUUACUAAAUUAAAAGAAAAAUAUUAGUAGAAGGGCAUCUACAAAGUUAUUGCAAAUUUUGUAGAAUCUUGUGAAAUUCGCAAGUAUAUUUAAAUAUUUGACAUCAAGAUGGAUUACAUCUAACAUAUCUUUUAGCUUUACAUUAUAAGUGGAUGAUAGAUUAAGUGGCAAUAUCUAUGGAAUUUCGACAAAUGAAAUAUUUGAUACUUGCAAAAGAAGAUUUAUUAAAUAUGAUUAAAGAACAAACAUUAAGAAUAAAAGGUACUGAAGAUAUAUAUCAAUUUUUAUUAGAAGAUCUUAUUUGUCACUAUAGUUGUAUUAAAAAAAUUAUAGUUAUUAGAGGUGAAUUGAAUGCAAAAGAAGCACAAAAUUUUUUUAAUAGAAUAAGAAUUAAACUUUCAUUAAUAAAUACAUUUAAUUUAAAAUGUAAUAAUAAGAGUAAGUAUGAGCAUUCACCUAUUGUUAAGGCAUUAGUAAAGGCAUGCAAUAGCAAAUCAUAUGAAUGGCUUAGACUACUAUCAUUUGUACUAUGGACAAAUGAAAUAACUCACAGUUCAAUAAUAAGGUGUAUACCUUUUGAAUUAAUAUAUGAAAAAAAAUCAAUAAUGUCUAAAAAUGAGGUAGUACCUACAUAAGAUAUAUUGCUUUGGAAAGAUAAUUUCAAUAGAGAAGAACUUUUAGCAUUAUAGAUUCAAAAAUUUAAAAGAAGACUUAAUGAUAUUGAAGCAACAAUAGAAAGAUUGAAUGAAGCAAGAAAAAAGAAUAAAAAAAAGAUUUGAUAAAAAACAUCAACUACUACCUAAGGUAAUUAAAAAUAGUAAUUGGAUGUUAGUUUAUAAGAGUAACUUAGACAAUCAACAUAGUACAAUAAUGAAGCUUGCAAAAAGAUGGUUGGAUCUUAUGAUGUCAAAUAAGUAUACAACAAUAGAACAUACUUAUUACAAGAACUUAAUGGUACAAGAUUGAAGAUACUUAUAGCACACAAGCAAAUUAAGUUAUUUAAAUCAAGAGGUGAAGACAUUUAUAUUAGUAAAAAAUAAAGUCCAUUAGAAGAAAUUGAAUGGGAUCAGAAGAACAAAUUAAAAAUAAAGAAUUUGAUGAAGAUGAAGAUCAUUCUACAUCAAUAUAAUGAAGAAUCUUAAGGCAUGCUAGAAGAUGCAUAAAUUUAAGAGAGAUAGAUGUCAUGAUAUAAUAUAAUUAAUAGGUAAAAAAGUGAAUAAAAUAUUAAAAUAUAGAAGAUUUUAUUUUAAAAUAUUAUAGCAAAUAAUCUUAAAAAUAUAGAUAAUAAGCAAGGGAUAAUAAACUAAAAGUAAAAAUUUUACCUUUUAAAAAAUAAGCUUCUAUUUUUUUUAGAGAGCCAUAAAUAUAAUUAAAUAAGAUAGAUUAAAAAAGUAGAAAAUAUAAGCAUAUGUAGAGAGGAGUUAGAAAUUGAUUUUAGCAAAGAUUAUCUUAAGAAGACAAAAAUUGAUACAUAGAGAGGAUUGGUUGUCAACCCAGGUCAAAUCAGAUCCUAAGCCACAAACACUUUCUUAUAGCAACUCCAAGAUUCUUUUAUAAAUAAAAGUAUGGGAUUUGGAAUAAGACUUUAGAGGAUUUUUUAAAGCAUUGGUUUUGAGUAAUUUUAGUUUGUAAUGACUUUGUAAGAGCUUUGCAAAGUCAAAGUUGGUUUAGAUAAUUUUGGAUUUUAUGAAUUUAAAUAAGAUUUAUAAAUUAAGAAAUUUCAUGAAUUUUAUAGUAGAUCUUAAGAGUAUAAUUUAUAAAUUUAUGAAUAUACUUGUAUUGAAUAUAUGUUGUAAAUUUGAACUUAAUCAAAUAAAUAGAUUGAAUGUUAUUAAAGUUCAAGUGGAUUAGAAUCUUAGAAAUUGGAUUUUUAGGUCUAAUAAGGUUAUCUAAGAUUUAUAAAAAAUUUCCAAUUGGAUUGAAGUGAUUUUUAUUAAAACUUAUAAUUGAAUUGACUUUCAAUACUUAUGCAAAAUUUGAGAGCAAGUUAAUAGUUUAACUAGAAGUUAUUACUAUUGGAAGAUCAAUAUUAAGGUCAAAGAUAGAGAUUGAUAGACAACCAAGUAGAUUAUGAUGUUUUUUUAAAAUUUCAUAAGUUUAAUUCUCUUCAAAUUUAUUAUGCUUAUUGUUAAUUAAGAGAUUGAGAGGUGUGUAAAAUUUUAAGUAAUAUCAAUAGUUAAGUUAAUAAAUAUUGAAGUUUUAAAAUUACCUUAGGAUUGAUUUGAAUUGAUUAGAUUUUGAUUAAGGUUGGUUUGAAUUAAUUAGGAUUUGAUUUAGGAUUUAAAAUUUCUUUAAGAUUUUUUUUAGGAUUUAUUUUGGAUUCUUUAAAAUUUCUUUAAAAUUUUUCAAGGAUUUCUUUAAGGUUCUUGUUGAUUUUUUUAGGAUUUUUUUAUUAUUUCUUUAUGAUUUUUUUAAAAUUUCUUUAGGAUUUUUUUUAUAUUUUUUAUAAUUUCUAUGAAAAUUUAAUUGGACUUGACCAAUGUUUGAUUAGGUUUAUUAAGCUUUAAUUUUAUUUUAUAUAUGAUUCUAUUAGAAUUAUUAGAACUUAUCAUUACAAUAUUUUUUUACCUUCCACAAUCAAGUACUUAAUGCAUUCUUAAGCAAAAUUUUGCAUAAUACAAAAAUGCUAGCUUGCUUAUCUUUAUUAUAGUUGAAAAGCACCAUUAUAAUAUUUUCCUCUAAUACAUGUGUUAAAAAAAUAAAAUUCUUCUCUUCUAUAUUUUUAAUUAGAUCUAAUAUAUCAGCUUUCAUGUGGUGCCAGUGCCAAGAAAAAAUAGAGAUUGAAGUUGAUAUGGUUUUUGUCCUUAUUGAACUUUACUAUUAAUUUUAUCAAAGUGACCUAGUCAUAUUUUAUUAUCAAUGGAUAUCAAAAAAAAAAUAGGACUUCAAAUUAUUGAUCAUUUGAUAUUUUUACUUCUAAAUUUAUUUUAUUGUUAUUUUGACAAACUCCAUUUUUACAACAUGUAUUGUUUUUAUUUUUGCAUCCAUUUCAUAACAAUAGCAUUUACUAGUGAUACAAAUAAGGAUAAUUCUAAAUUGUUAGAAUGAAGAUUUCUAAUAUUUUUAUUUGUUGACCAUGGCAUUUAGUAAGAUAUUUUGUAUUUGAUUAUAUUAAUUUAAAUAUUAUUAUUUGUGACAAGUUUUAUAUUUAAUAAGCUUAAGCCAUAAUACAUGUUUUUGGUGACUUUGAUCAUUUUCAUACUUUAAGACUAUAUGAAUUGGACAAACAUGAAAAUCUAAUGGAAGAUAGAUAAAUAGAAAUAGAUGAAAUAUAUAAAUAUCUUAAUAUAGUCAUAUUGAACUUUAUCAUGACUUACUUGGGCUUUUAGCUAAAAUCUCUAGAUUUUGAUAUAGUAGUUCAAGAAGUAUUGGACAUCACUUAUUUAAAGAAUGAAGUUGCAACAUCAAUCUACAUCACAUUGUUGACAAACAAGUUAACAAUAAUUUUGGACUCCUUUUGAAUCUACACAAAGAUCCUAAGUAUGACAAAUCAAUAUCUUGAUAGUGUUUUUUGUUGUAUAAAUGACCAUAUUAUUAAUCAAAGUCUUGAUUUGAAGAUGUCUAAAUCAAGGAUGGAAGCACAAAAGAUUGUUAUUGAUAUUGGACUUGAUUAUGUCAUAAUUCAUGCCUAUCCAUGUACAAUAGUUCUUUAUUACUAGAAGUAUGAUAGUUUAGAAAAUUUCUUGAAGUAUCAAAAAUCAAAAUAUCAAGAAGAUAUAUUUACAAAAAGAAUUCUAAAGAAGUUAUUAUUUUUUAACUCAAUUGUAUUGUAUAUAUAAUAUUUUGUAUAUGUUAGAAAGCUUAUCCAUAUUAAUUAGAGAUACUAAUUAUACUUAGUUGUUUAUAUUGUUUUAUAAAAAAAUAUAUUAUUUCUUGAUUAUGCCUUGAUUAUAUAUAAUUUAUUGCAGAUUAAUAUUAUUGAUUCUAAUGAUUCAUUACUACAACUAUGUCAGCAAAAAUAGAAUAAUAAAGAUUUUUUUGGACUUAAAAGCAUAGAAAUAUUGAAACAUGACUAGACUAUAUCAAAAAUCGAAGAUCCUUCUAUUCCAUAGCAAUAUAAAAUCUCAUCAAAAAAUAAGACAAAACAUACUAGAAUAGAAUUGAAUGGAACUGAAUAAAAUAAGAUACAAAAGACAAACUAAGAAAAUAUAAACAAAACAAAACAAAACUGAACAAAAAGAUGCAAAACCAAACUUUACUAAAAAAAAGGAUCUGAAGCCAUACCUGACUAGAUGCACCAAAAGGCCUUGACCAAUCCUCUUUAUACCUUGUCCUACUACCCUAGACUUUCUAGAAUGUUUCUAGGUGGUGGACUCUAACUAGAUAACUACCUUAAAUUUUUUUUCUAGAAGGUUCUAUAAUAGGUCCAAUCUAGAUAACUACCCUAAGCUUUUUUUAAAAGGUUUUAUAAUAGGCUCUAUCUAAAUAAAUGCCCACAAUCCUUUCUAGAAUGUUCCACCAUGGAUCUUACUUGGUAUACUAACCUAAUCUCAAUUCUAAAAACUUUGAUGGUUCUAAUUAUUUAUGUAAUUAUCUUAUCUAUAUUAUGUUAUAGUUAAUCCCUCUCUAUUACUAUGAACAUCCUCGUUUUGUUCUUGAUGUUAUCUCCAAAUCGUCUCUUGGCAAUAAAUGAGGUUUUGUGUAGAUUCUCACAUUGCAUUGAACCUUUCCAAAGAACUUUGUACUCAAGUUGUGGACAUCCACUACCAUGACAAAAGUAGCAAUACUCCAAAACGUUGUCCACUUCAUAUUCUUAUUGGUCAUCAACUACAACUGGUGGUAGUGGUGGUUGGUGUUGAUCUGGAAAGCUCUUUGGCUUGGUAUGAAAUUUCUUCAUUUGUAAAACAUGGAAAAUUGAAUGGACUCAAAUAUGUGGCCAAAGCUUGAGGUGGUAUGCAACAUCAGAUAUUACUGCAAAAAUAUGAAAAGAUCUAAUCUACUAAGAUGCUAGUUUAUGGAUUUGGGUUGAUGUUGCAAGUGGCAAAUUGAUAUUGGAGAGUAACACAUGAUUACCCUUUCAAAAGGUCUUGUGUUGUUGAUGGUUAUCUGUAUAUUACUUUUGUCAAUUCUAAGCAGUAAAGAGGUAGUGCCGUUUUUCUUAUAAGGUCAUUGUAAGUCAUUGUAUAAAUUCUUCUAUUGUUAGGUUGUUAAUCUUGAUAGGACAAUAGAAAGUUUCUGGCAUAAUUGGAUGUUGAUUAGUAUUAAGAAAAAAUGGUGAAUGAUCAAUAUUUACUUGAAUAUUAUCAUUAUAAGCAAAUUCUAAGGAUAUCAAGUAUUCAUCUCAAUCAUUAUGAUGAACCGCCUCGAAUGCUCGUAGCAUAUCUUCUAAGGUCAGAUUUAUAUGCUCUAUUUGUCUAUCCAUUUGAGGAUGAAAGACUAUAGACAUAACAAGUCAUGUGUCUAGUAGCUUGAACAAGCCUUACCAAAAACUUCCCAUGAAGUGUGAAUCUCAAUUUGAAAUGAUGAUACAAGAUAAUCCAUGGUGACAAAAGACAAUAUCAAAAAAGACUUAUACAAGCAUUGGAGCAUUAAUAUCCGAGCACAUUGCAGCCAAUUAAAGUUGCUUUGAGAGUUGAUCUAUAAAAAUAAAAAUUACGAUAUGAUUAUGAUGCAUUUGUAAUAAACACGUAAUGAGAUCCAUAGUCACCUGCUUCCAACGUCAUAUAAGUAGCAAAAUUGGCUACAAUAUUCUAAGAGAUAUUACCUUGUAUACUUUAUUAUGUUGACAUGACUUGCAAGAGCAUACAAAGGUACGAACAUCGUAAUCUAAACUUAUCCAAAAUCAUGUCCUUGAGAUCCAUUCUAAGGACUUCUCUUGUUUCAGAUAUCUAGAUAUUGAGAUGUCAUGUCCUUCCGGAAGUAUGCGCGUCUAGAGUUUAGCAUUGUAAAGUAUAUAAAUUUGAUUCUUGAAAUAGAGUAAGCCAUUACUAAGAGUGUUAUCCUAAUAUUGUAUAUCAUCCACCUUCAAUAGAUUACUAAUCAUCUUGAAAUAAGCAUUCCAUUACAUAGCUUCCUUCCAUUCUGCCUCUUUGCUUAGAUUUGAAAUGAUACUACUAAUGGUAGCAACUUCUAUCUCAUCUCCCAAUUCGUUCUUCAAGUUUGAUCUCUAUGAUAAAUUAUAUGGCAUAGUAUAUUAUUGCCCUUACUUGUACUAAAGAUGGAUAUCAAAAAGCUACAACUAUUCUUUUCAAUGAUAAUGCCAUAAUUUCAUAUUUUUUAAAUAAAAAUUAUGUAGUAAGGGUCAAUGGUCAAUCCGAACAACCACUGAUUUUUCCAAUAGAUAAUGUUGCCACAUCUUAGUAGUGUCUACAAUUGCUAAUUACUCUCAAUCAGAUAAAGAGAAAUUGCACUCUAUCCUUCUGAGCUUGCAUGAUUCAUAUGCCACAAGUUGAAGGCCCCUACCAAAGUCUUGUUGAAGAACCAUUCUAAUAGCAAAGUCAGAGGCAUCAAUGUGAAGUGUACAAAGGAGAUUAUGAUCAUAUAAUUGUAAUAUUAGAGCAAUAAUGAUUGAUUCCUUCAACUUAUCAAAGGCAUUUUGCUACUCCAAUUUGUAUUCAAAUGGGGAACCCUUUUCCAAUAGGUUUGUCAAUGAGGCAACAAUGUAAGCAAAUUGCCAAACAAAACAGUAAUAGUAUCUAACAAGGCCUAAAAAUGAGCAAACUUCAAAAGCAUCUUUGGAAGUUGGCCAAUCCUCUAUUGCUUUUACCUUAUCUUGCUCCAUAUGCAUGCCUCCAAAGAAUACCUCAUGCCUCAAAAAGGUGACUUUUAACUUCCAAGGCUCACAUUUUUAUUGCUUAUAAUAGAAGAAACUAUCUUGCAACCAGCAUAGUACCUCUUGUAGGUGUUAUCCAUGCUCUUCAUAGAUUUUUCUAUAUACAAGGAUAUCAUCAAUGAAGACGAAUACAUACUUAUUCAAAAGGUCUCAAAAAAAUCUAUUCAUGUGACAUAUGAAAGAGGCUGAAGCAUUGGUAAGGCCAAAAGAUAAAAUCAGUCAUUCAAAAUAUCCAUAGUACAUACAAAAUAUCGUCUUUUCCACAUCUUCUCUUACAAUAGGCAUUUGCUAAUAGACGCUCCAAAGAUCCAAAUUAUUAAAGAUAGUUGCACCUCAAAGUUGGUCAAAAAGAUCAUCUAUGUGUGGAAGUAGAUAUGUAUUUUUAAUAGUCUAUUUAUUGAGACUUCAAUAGUUGAUGCAAAAGCAAAGUACACCAUCUUUCUUAGGUGCAAAGAGUACAUGUGUUCUCCAUAGUAAUAUGCUUCUUGAAUGAGGCCUUUUUCCUAGAGUUUAUCUAAUGUCUUUCGCAGCUCUUCAAGUUCUUUUGGUGCUAGGCAAUAAAUUAGUCAACUUAUUGAUUUGGCUCUAAGUAACAGUUCUAUUUGAAAGGAGGCAUCUCAAUCAGGAGAUACACUACUAGAUAGGUCAAUUGGAAAGACAUCUUGAUAUUUUCAUAUGAGUUGUUCUGCCUGUUCUAUCUCUUUGGCUAUCUUUUCCACCUCUAAUGUGAGAUUUGGAACUACCAUAUAUAUAUAUAUAUAUAUAUCGGUUGUUCAUGCUCUAGUUGCUUCUUCAUAAAAGUCGUUCCUAUAAGUAAGUCUUUCAUUGUAGAUUUUCUUUUCUCUUCACUUAUUGUAAAGGUGCAAAGAGUCACCUUGCAUCAUCCAUCUUUAAAAGAGAUUAUCCUUGCUAUCUAAUCAACUUUUUUUAUUUUUUAUUUUUAGCCAUGGCAUACCAAAGAUAACAUCAUACAUUAGCUUUGUCACCUUGAAUCUCUUUCUUAAGUUGUAGGUAUGUAUCAACUUCAAGAUUUCUUCUUCAUAUGUCUCACUCAAUAUAUUCUCUUGGUCAUUUACAAGAUAUAUACUUCCUUCAUUGAUUUCCUUGAUUUUAAUUCCAAGCUAGUAGGCAAUUUUAAUUGAGAGGUAAUUUUUUGUAGAGCCACAAUCUGCAAGCACUCAACAUGGUUGUUCUCUUAGUAGUCUCGAUGGAUGUACUAGUCGACUCUUUUUAUAAUUAUCCAAGGCUAUACCAUUUGUCUAUGAAAGACAAUAGCUACCACCAGUAUUUGUCCCUGGUGCCUUUACUAAGGAGCCUCAUUUUCCUGCUCUAACUCAUUAUCGGCUUAAUAAGUUUCAAGACUAUGAAUCUGCCUUAUCUUACUGGUACUUACACUUUGACGUCUUACACAACCUCCAAUCUCAUAGCUUAGCUCCCCAUAAUAGAAAUACAAUCAUUUUUGUACUAAUAUUUGUCAUCUUUGUGGUGUCAAUGAUCCUUGUAAGGCAUCAAUGUCCAUUGGCAUUGGUUGUUGUGCCAUGAUAUUAUAUAGCAACAUAGAACUUUGUACUAUACGUCAUACUCCAUAUUUUCUGAAAUUUAUGGCAUCGACCCUCUCUGUAAUCCAAAUUGCUUCUUUGAAUGUUUAUAGAUCCUUUAGGUCUAUUUCUUGUUGGACUCCAGGUUUCAAACCUCAUAGGAAUCAAUCCAUCAUCUCUACCUCCAAAACAUUGCUAAUUUGGAGAUAUAUGAACUUGAAUUGGAAGACAUAAACUUGCACCAACCUAGUUUGUGUAAGAUUUGCUAAUUGAUUGCGUGCUAUCUUUUCUACAUUGUGUUAGGGACAUAGUCCUUAGAACCUUCUAGAGACAAGUUUCUAGAACCUUCUAGAAACAAGUUUCUAGAACCUUCUAGAAACAAGUCUCUAGAACCUUCUAGAAGCUUCUUAGUAGGUAGAAGAUGUUAGGGACAUAGUUCUUAGAACCUUCUAGAGAUAAGCUUCUAGAACCUUCUAGAAGCAAGUCUCUGGAACCUUCUAGAAGCUUCCUAGUUGGUAGAAGUUGCUUGAGAAGCUUCCUAAAUAAGAGUAUAUAUUGGAAUCGAGGCUGAAGAGUUCUUCAGUCUCGACAACACAUCUCUUGGAGCUCUAGCUCACUUCUCUGGUGUUCUUCUUGUAUUCAUCUCAUUAAUCUAGAACUUGCCAGUUCUUCUUGAACUUCUUGUUAGAUCUCGAGUCUGUAUUUUUGUAUCCAUGACAGUUUGUCGAGACUUCACUCACCUCAGAUAUCAGAGUUAGUUUCUUCCUCGUUAGAGAGCGGAUUAUCCCUCUACUUGGAAGUGUACUAGCAUUUUAGAGGUUGCGGAUUACCCUCCUCUAAACUGAUACUUCUUUUGUUACAAUAUUGGAGUCUUAUUCUUCUUGGAAAGAGUGGAUUACCCCUUUUCUUGAAGCUCCUAAGGCAUUUUAGAGGUUGCGGAGUACCCUCCUCUAAACCAAUAUUAUCUUCUUGUAGAGUCAUUUCUGUCCUUCUCUUAGAAUGGCCAAAGGCCAAGACAUUAGUAUGAUGGAAAGUUCGGAGUCCAAGUUGGAUGCUAUCAUGAAUGCCCUCGCUACGUUAUCGUAAAGAACUGCAGAGAUUGAAGGAGUCGUGGCAAAGCUUCAUAAUGAUAGAGCAUCUGGGAUGGCACAAUCUAGGUUGCACCAGCCUCAAACUUUUGUACUUGGAGAAGCAACUUUGCCUCAGGUUCGACAAGCACCACUGGUUCUACAAGAUAAGGAGCCCCGAGCUAGCCUUCCGGACAAGUUUGAUGGUACGUGUUGUCGUGUUGUAAUACGAGUAUAUUGUGAAAAUAUAAAGGAAGAGGAUUUUUAUUAAUGUUCAGUUACCUCAAAUAUUGGGAGCAACGACCAAUUCCAGUGCAAAUACUGAGAAGCUAGGUUCAGUCACCCCGUUACAGUCAGCCGGGGCAUACUGAAAUGCUCCGUUCGAUUCCAAUAACGAGAGUCAGCAGGAAGGAAAAGGACCAAUUGACACGACGGGUGAGCCUGGUUCGAAGAGCCAAUUGGAUCCAAUUUCAAGAAUCCAAUCCGGGUCCUCUUACCCAAUAUGAGACCUGAAUUGGUCGGGCAACCCAAUGCAGUCUAAUUACGGGAAAAUCCAGGUCUUACUAUGGGCUUCAGCCAAUCUGACGCGAAGGACCAAUUUGAUCCAAUUACGGGAACAUCCGGAUCUUACUACUGGACUCUUAGCCAAUAUGAGACCUGAAUUGGUCAGGCGACUCAAUGUGGUCCCGAUUACGGGGUUUUAAUUCUGUUUCAGGCUGUCCUGUUCUCUGUGCCGUUUCAGGGAACAUUGUUUUCGGUAAAAGGAUCUCUUAAAGGUAAAAACAGAGGAGAAAGCUCUGACGGCGAGAGCCAAUUCCGGAUCCAAGACGGAAGGAGCCAAUUCCAGAUCCAAGACGGAAGAUUGAAGAAAUUCAGAGGCUAGGGUUUGAAAGAGGAGAGAAUUAGGGUUAAAGGGGAAAAAGGUUAAGAAAUGAGGGGGGAUUUUUUUCAGAUCAGAUUUUUGGAUCGAAGAGCUAGCUUCAACCUCUUUUCAAGGUCACUAGUUUGGUUUCAUUAGGGUUGUGAGGAAAGAGCAAUCGCUGCUCAAAGUCAGUGUUUAUUUUGGUGUUUCGGAUUUUAUAUAAAACAUUGAUGGUUUGCAUUCUCAAUCGGUUUGUGCAAGUCGUGUAGCAUCUAUGGAUCAAAAUUUGGUAUUGUCUGGAUAGUUGGGUGUGCUAAGUGUAUACAAAAAUUUGUGUUAAUCUAAUAAUGCAAUCAAGAGAUAUUUGGAUUUUAGUACAAAGGGUUGUCGGAAGUUGGCAGUCUAGGGUUGGAUAGGAUUUCUGUGAUAUCUGAAGAUCUACUAGUUGGAUCAACGUAAGUUUUUGCUUGGUAAUAGAAGAUUUGGAGAUCAAGCGGCUAUUCAAUUUUGAGCUAGAGUUAAUAGUUGACAAAGGAGAAAUCACUUCUGGAGUUUCUACAUCAAAUUUCAAGGUUGCGGCCGAGUGUCAUCAGUGCAGUUUUUGGGCGUUUUCUUGCAAUCUGUAAGUUGGGUUGGGCUGAAAUUUUCUGAGCAUAUAGAAGGCUUAUACUGGUAUUUGGGUGCAAAAUUUCACACUAAGUGGACGGUUGGAUCAAAAGUUACAACUUGUCAAAGCUCACUGGCUAGGAUUAGGGCUUAUUAAGAAAAACAAAAACAACUUAAUUAUAAAAGAAAUAAAGCAAUUGGAAUAUUGUAUGGUUAAAAUGACUAUGAAGAGUGUUUUUAAAUACUUGGAAAUUGAUAUUUCAAUUAUAUUCUUCAUACAUGGAUAAAAUCUAUUAGGAUUUCUUUGUUAUUUGCAAAAACAACUAUACCUUCCACAGCCAGAUAUCCAGUGUAUUCCCGAACAAGACAACACGUAAUACGACAGAGUUCCAAGUUUCGAGGAUUCGUCAAUCAAAUCAGGUUGAUAACAGUUUUACAGCCCGAACGCUAUCCAACGGAGGAGUCACGUGUUGGGCUUGUUGGAACCUUACUUACAAGGCAAGCUCUAUUAUGGUUUGCUCCUUUGUUUGAAAAAUGAUCGUCCAUACUAAACAACUUUGAAACCUUUUUGGAGGCAUUUGCGGAAGAAUUUGGUGAACACGACAAGAUUCGAUGGGCUACAACAAAGAUCCGGUUACUAUGACAAGAGAUGCACUCUACAUCAGUCUAUGCAUCGAACUUCAGGCAAUUAGCAUGUGAUAUCAAUUGGGACGAAGAAGCAUUGAUGAGUCAAUUCUAUUGGAGUUUAAGGGAUGAUGUGAAGGAUUUGCUAUUAACUCUUCCUGAUCUACAAAUGCUCAACGAAGCUAUUAGCCAAGCUGUGAAGUGCGAUAAUCUCCUAUUCCAACACUGUCAAGAUCAACGUUCAAGACAACAUACGGUUUGCCAUGCCUCAACUAUGUCGGCAUGUAGUGUGAAUACACAUUCAGAGGUAGAAGACAUGCAAAUUGAUGCAGUACGUAUCAAAUCUCUUAUCCAAGAAGAAAAAAAGUGACGUAUGGAGGAAGUUAUAUGCUUGUAUUGCGGUGAAGAAGGCCACAAAGUUGGAAACUACACCAAGAAGAAAAAUCGACGUAUUGUCAGACUAGGGGUGCGUUUGUUCAGGAAAACGAGGAUGCCCAGCCACAAUAGAAACUGUGCGACUGCACAAUGAAAUAUCGCAACAACAACCAGGUUCCUUUCUUUCUGCUCAACCUGUCCUUUGCUUUACAAUCCCUUUGCUUAUUGGCCCUCAAAAAUUAAGAACCUUAGCAUUAUUAGAUUCAGGAGCAUCUGCUUGUUUCUUAGACAAAGAAUUUGUGAAGUGUCAUAAGAUCCCUUUAGUACAAAAAUCCAAACCUGUUCACGUUGAGGUCAUAGAUGGACGACCUUUAUUGUCUGGUAGUGUCACCCAUGAAUCAAAACCUAUAGAAGUGACGUUUAAGGGCCAUAGUAGUCAUAUUAUUUUCAAUAUUAUUAGAACCCCAUCAAAUCCUAUUAUUCUUGGUCUUUCCUGGUUGAAAAAGCAUAACCCAUCCAUAGAUUGGAAGUUGCGGAAGAUAACCUUUUCCACAAAACCACCCAAGAACAAGCCUAGUAGAACACCCCGAAUAGAGAAAUCCUUAUUUAUUGGAGCAAGAGCAUUUAUAAGAUCGUCCAAGGAAGGCACACCGUUUAUCAUUUAUGCGGCUCCAACUACCAGGGAGAAGAUCUCAACAACAAGUAUACCUGAGCAAUAUAAGGAUUUUAAAGACAUGUUUCAAAAGAAGAAUGCUGACAUGCUACCCGAACACUGACCAUAUGAUUGCGCCAUAGACUUGUAGGAAAGAGCACAACCGCCUUUUCGCCCAAUCUACAAUCUAUUGCAGAUGGAGUUGGUAGAGUUGUGGAAGUACAUCGACGAGAAUCUAGCCAAGAACUUCAUCCGUCAUUCAAAAUCGUCAGCUGGAGCACCCAUCUUAUUUGUGAAGAAGAAAGAUGGCUCGUUGCGGAUGUGCGUGGACUAUCGAGGCCUCAACAAGGUAACAAAGAAGAAUUGUUAUCCGUUACCCUUGAUUUCUGGUCUCUUAGAACAACUUGGACAUGCAAGGAUUUUUACAAAAAUUGAUUUAAGAGGAGCUUAGAACCUCGUAUGAAUCAAGGAAGGAGAUGAGUGGAAGACAGCAUUCCGUUCAAGGUAUGGCCAUUUUGAGUAUAAUGUCAUGCCCUUUGGUCUUACCAAUGCUCCAGCGGUCUUUCAACAUAUGAUGAAUGACAUUUUUUGAGAGCACCUUGACGAUUUUGUUCUCAUCUAUUUGGAUGAUAUUUUGAUAUUCUCCAAAAAUGAGGAAGAGCAUGAAAAGCAUGUUCGUUUGGUCUUGGAGAAACUACGCGAGCGAGGACUUUAUGCCAAGUUGGAGAAGUGUUUAUUUCACUAAAUAGAGAUGGAGUUUUUAGGGUUCGUUGCGACUACGGAAGGCUUGAAGAUGGACCCCAAGAAGGUAGAAGCAAUCGUGUCUUGGGAGGUUCCAAAGACGGUGAGAGACGUACAAUGCUUUCUUGGCUUUGCCAACUUCUAUCGGAUCUUCAUCAAGAAUUACUCUCAAGUUGCUGCUCCUCUCACUCGUUUGACAUGCAAGGAUAAGCUAGAAUGGGGACCUCUAGCGGAGAAGGCAUUUGAAGACCUAAAAAUCACAUUUACUACGGCUCCAAUUUUAGUACAUCCAGACUUUACAAAGGCCUUUUAUUUAGAAAUUGAUGCUUCGGAUUUUGCUUUGGGAGCUGUACUUUCACAAAUGGGAGAAGACAAGAAGCUCCAUCCGGUUGCAUUCUAUUCUUGAAAGUUCUUUGCUGCUGAAAUCAAUUAUGAGAUCCAUGAUAAGGAACUUCUUGCUAUAGUGGAUUCUUUCCAAGAAUGGCAUCACUUUUUUGAAGGAGCUGCACACCCAAUGACCGUAUACACAGAUCACAAGAAUUUGGAGUAUUUCAUAUCGGCUCGAGUUUUAAAUUGACGUCAAGCUCGGUAGAGUAUGUUACUAUCUAGGUUCGAUUUUGUUAUCACUAUCGACCUGGAAAGCAGUAAGGACUAUCUGAUGCCUUAUCGAGGAGAUCGUAUCUUGUACCAAAGGUUGGAGAAGCAGCGUUUGAUCAACAAUGUACGACAUUGUUGAAGCCAGAGCAAUUUCAGUUUUGCGCUACUAUUGUGUCAAUUGAUGUUGACUUCUUGAAUCAGGUACGUGCCGUGACCAUUGAAGAUUGAGUAGCCAUUGAUAUUAAGCAGCGUGCAAAUGAUGACAAAUUUAAGGUGGAGGGAGAUCUUUUAUACUUUGAGGAGCGGUUAAAUAUUCCAAAAGGACCAAUACGACUCUGAGUUCUUCAAUCUCGCCACGAUUUUCCAGCUUCGGGAUAUUUUGGAUUCAACAAGACCUUGGAGCUUAUUUCUCAAGAUUUUUGGUGGCCCCAAAUGUAGAAGGAUGUGAAAGAUUUUGUCCUCUCCUGCAACAUCUAUUCAAGAUCCAAGAAUCCUCGACAUCGCCCUUAUGGACUCCUACAGCCAUUGCUGAUUCCACGUCGACCAUGGUCUUCAGUUUCCAUGGACUUUAUUACGGACCUUCCAUCAUCGAAUUCAUUUGACAGCAUCUUUGUCGUGAUAAAUCGGCUUACAAAGAUGGCGCACUUUAUUCUUUGCAAGAAGACAUCGUCCAAUGAAGUCACAGCAAGGCUCUUUCUCGAUAAUGUGUAUCGAUAUCAUGGACUACCAGAUGAUAUCAUAUCAGAUCGAGGAAUCCAGUUUGUAUCAAAGUUUUGGAGACCUCUCUUUGAGAUACUGAAGGUGGAUAUCAAGCUUUCUUCGGCUUUUCAUCCUUAAACUGAUGGCCAAAUGGAACGGGUGAACCAAGUCUUGGAACAAUACUUACGAUGCAGCAUCAACUAUCAGCAAGACGAUUGGACCACAUAUCUGUCGUUAGUCGAGUUUGCAUAUAACAACACCCUCCAUGCGUCGAUUCAAUACACACCAUUUUUUUCCAACUAUGGGUAUCAUCCGAAGCUUGAUUUAUUGAAUCCGUCAACAAAUAACAAUCCAGUAGUUGAAGGAUUUGUGAAACAACUAUCAAAGCUUCAAAAUACAUUGAAGCUUCAAUUACAAUCCGCUCAAGAAUCCUACAAGGCGUCUGCAGAUAGAUUUCAGAAUCAAGCACCUACUUUCAAAAUUGGAGAUAAAGCAUGGCUUCUUCGACAGAAUAUCAAGACCAAGCAACCAUAUGAUAAGUUGGACUAUCGAAGAUUGGGACCAUUCAUUAUCCAGAAGCAAAUCAAUCCAAUGGCGUACCGUUUGGAAUUACCGACUUCUAUGAAGGUACAUCCAGUCUUUUAUGUUUCUCUGUUGGAGCCUUAUCGAGAGUCAUCUUUUUUUGGAAGAGUGCAAUGUCCGCCACCGAGUAUUGAGAUCGAGAACCAUGAGGAAUACGAGGUUGAAAAGGUAAUGGAUUCACAGCAAAGGUGGGGCAAGUUGGAGUAUCUUGUUUAUUGGUGCGGCUACGACAUUAAUGAGCAAACGUAAGAGCCAGCUGAAAAUCUUGCCAAUGCGCUGUAAAAGGUACAAGAGUUUCAUCAACAACAUCCUCAUAAACCUAAGCCGGUUCAACGAUAGCUUCCUUCUGAAGCUUGCUCACCUAAGAAUAUAAGAAAGGAAAAGAGCACCACCAAAAUUCAUAGUUGAUGUAGUUAUUUUUUCCAAGAUAAAAUAGAAUUUUUUCAGUAGCCAUAGUUUGGUCUUCUGAUAUGGAUAGCCAAGAGAUAGAUACUAUGCCAAUCAGAUUAUCUCAACCGACUAGCUCACGAAGGUGACCCCGAGAUGAAGAACCGCCUACACCACGAUGACGAUGGAGGAUACUGAGUAAUUGAUCAUUGGUGAUUGUAUUUGAGUCCGAGCGUGCUUACAAUGGUGAGCCAAAAGACGUGUUUGUAGGACAAUUUCACAAUGAGGACACGGAAGUUCAUGCUUGGUCAUAAGUUGAAGGAGUGGGCCACUACUGUUGACUUCAAGGGUCGAUGAACCACUUGCCUCGUAAACAACAGUUGGAGUUCAUAACAAACGUUAUGCGACAGAUCUUCAUUUUCUUACGUUGGUACUGAUUAAUAACAACAUUGCUUCUCAGAGACCUCGAAGCUAAAAGAGGGGGUGAUGUUAGAGACAUAGUCCUUAGAACCUUCUAGAGACAAGUUUCUAGAACCUUCUAGAAGCAAGUCUCUAGAACUUUCUAGAAGCUUCUUAGUUGGUAGAAGAUGUUAGGGACAUAGUCUUUAGAACCUUCUAGAGAUAAGUUUCUAGAACCUUCUAGAAGUAAGUCUCUGAAACCUUUUAGAAGCUUCCUAAUUAGUAGAAGUUACUUCAGAAGCUUCCUAAAUAGGAGUAUAUAUUGGAAUCAAGCCUGAAGAGUUCUUUACUCUCGACAACACAUUUCUUGGAGCUCUAGCUUACUUCUCUAGUGUUGUUCUUGUAUUCAUCUGAUUAAUCUAGUUCUUGUCAGUUCUUCUUGAACUUCUUGUUAGAUCUCAAGUCUAUAUUUCUGUGUCCGUGACACAUUGAUAGACCAAAAUUGAUUCCUAAACUAGGCCUCAAAUUCUUUCCAAUCACAAAAAUCUACCUUGAGCUCUAUAACUUUGAAUUCUAUGUCACCACCAAAUCGUUUCCAUAUCUUUCAAAUAAUUGGUUGCAUAUAUAAUUUCUUCAAUGAUAUUUGUCCUAGAUAGUUGGAAGUAUUGUUCCAUGUUGAAGAGCCAUUGACAUACAUCUUCUUAUCUUAAAGUUUUAGAGUAUGUACUACGCUUACUCAAUUUCAAUCUAGUCAAUAUUGACUCUCUUGUUUGUAAGGCUUUUAUUUGCACUUACAAAGUAGCUAUCUGGCCUAAGAGGUGUUAUAUUUGAGCUUCUAUUUAAGAUUGUUCUUCCAUGUCUCCCAUACUAUAAUUUCUCUCCUCGAUUCCACUAUUGUAAUAUCUUUUCACCUCUUGAUUGAUAUUUUAAGAGUAGCUCAAUAUAACCUCAAUAUAAUACCCAAUGUGAUGACAGUAACUGACCUUGGACUAAAUGAUGACUAUUGACAUGCUACAAAAAAUAAACAGUCUAGCACUCAUUUUAAUAUCAAUGAAACAAGACUAGACUAUCACAAAAAUCUAAGAUCUUUCUAUUCCACAACAACAUAAAAUCUCAUUACAAAUUAAGUUAAAAUAGAUCAGAAUAGAAUUAAACAAAAUUGAAUAUAAUAGGACAUAAAGGACAAAUUGAGCAAAUAGAAAUAGAACAGAAUAGAACUAAACAAAAGGAUGAAAAACCAAAUUUUACUAAGAGAAAAGAUCUGAAGCCAUACAUCACCAGAUGCCCCAAAAGACCCUGGCCAGUCUUAUUUAUACCUUGUCCUAUCACCUUGGACUUUUUAGAAUGUUCCUAGGUAGUGGGCCUCAUCUAGAUAACUGCCCUAAGCCUUUUUAGAAGGUUCUACGAUGAGUUCGAUCUAAAUAACUACCCAAAAUCCUUUCUAGAAUGUUCUAUAAUGGAUCCUAUCUAGUCCACUAACUUAGUCUCAAUUCUACAAACUUCUAUGGUUCUAAUUAUCUAUAUAAUUAUCUUAUCUAUAUCUUAUUAUAAAUAUAUUCUAAAUUACAUCUUUUUUUGAAUAUGAGAUAUAGUAAUAAUUUCCUUGCUUUAGCAUUUGGCAGAGUGCAUCCAUAUAAAAAUAAUGCAAGAAGUCAUUCUACUUAGCUUGUAGUACUCAUCAACAUGAACCUUCUACCAUGGUUAUUAAUUAAGCCCAUCUAUCUCAUAUUAUUAGUAAUUGUAUCAAAUACAUGUAUUGUAUCUCAUAGACUUGAUGUCUACAACUAACUCUUAGCAUAUUAAUUUUUUUAUUGUUUUGGUAUUUAUUUAUAUUUUAGCCAAGUAUUUAAUUUUAUUUUUAUUAUUUGUAUAGACAAGAAGAAAGUCAAAGAUAUAAAUAUCUAUUUGAUAGAAGUACCAUAGAUGAUAACUAAAAGAAAGUAUAAGAAUAUGAUGGAUUUGAUUAGAUCUAUCAAAACACCUAAAAAAUAUGGUUCCUUGUUUUAGUACAAGUUUUUGGAAUAUUAAAUCUCAAGUAUAAAUAGCAAUAACUAUCAUAACCUUUUCCAUAAUAUUUUACCUAUUAUAAUUAGGAAAGUGUUGAUUUUUAAUAUUUGCAAGAUCAUGUACCAUUUAAGAGCAUUAUUCCAAUAAAGAUGCAAUAUAGAAAUCAUAGAGUGUGAAAUUUAAGGCAUGAUAGACAAAUUAAUAGAUUUAAUGUAUAUAAUAGAGCAAUAUUUGCUAUCCAAUUGUUUUAUCAUUCAAGCGCAUAAUAUUAUGCAUUUGACAAAAGACCUAGAUUUGGCAAGAUCAAUCCAUUACAAAUAGAUAUACUAUUUGAACCAAUAUAUGAAGAUAAUGAAAGAUUAGAUUAGAUUAGAUAAAUGAUCCAACCAAAUAGGUCAGUAGCCAAUGAUUACAUUUUACAUGACUUGACUAAAUAUACUAUCAAACACAAAUUUUAAUUUUUUUGUUGAAGGUCACUCUUUUCAUCAUAUUAUAAUAUGGAAAGAAAUUAUUUAAUGUAUGAUACAUAAUGAUUUUUUUUUAAUAAUUCUAUAUUUAUUUUAUCCAUUUAAUUUGAUGUUUCUUUUAUAUUAGCUAAAUAGCAUCUAUAUUUCUUAUUUUUCAAAUUGUGAAGAAUUUAGCUAUCAAAAACAUUUGGAGAAAUGUAUUAUUUGAUAUAUAUAAAAAUUUCAAUAAUUUUUAGUAUUUUUAUGGCUUUAAAUAGUGUUUUGAUAAUUUUAAUGCUAUAUUAUAUUUCACGCUAUUAUUGAUGAUAUUUAAGGCAUUCUAUUUGCUAUGUUUUUAUAUUUCACUUAUAAUAAAGUUUGGUGUACUAGUAUACAAAUUAUGAAGGCUACUUCUUACAAAAAUGUUCUUCAUUCAAAACAUCUAUGAUCCAUAAGUUUUUAUAAUUGUCAAGUUAUAAGCUUUUAAAAUCAAAGUGCAAAUCUUUUAUCAUUGCUAUAAUCAACUUACAAUAUACCUACUAGUCCAUCUAUUGACCUAUACUAUAAUACCAUGUAGAAAGGUACUAGUGAUUCAAAGAUAUGUGGUAUAAAAUAUAAUAUAAGUGAUCAAGAUGAAUUAGAAUAGAUAAAUUUUACACAUGGCAUAAUACAAUGAUAAGGUUUUCAUAUUCCAAGAAGUCAACUAUCUAAUUUUAUAGAUGAAUGAAGGCAUAAGUGGUCUUUUCAUCCUUUGAUGUCGCUCAACCAAAGAUGUUUGUUAUCUUUUAGCCUUUGUCGUCUUCAACAAAUGGCACUUGUCACUUUUCCACCUAAAGUACUUGUCAUCUUUCAAUAUUUUUCAUCUUCCAACAUCCAUCAUUGAAAAAUAUAUCUCUUUUUUAAUACAAAUAAUUUCAUAUUAAAAAAAAUGAACAAGAAAAUAAUGUCAAAGAAGAUUAGCAAGAAUACAAUAUCAAAGAAGAUUAGUACAAACACAAUGAUGGCAAAGAAGGAAUGUCACAAGUACUCCAAAAUAUUACAAGGAUCCAAUAAAAACUUAAAAUUAAAAGAUCCUAUAAAAAAAAUAAAAAACCUCAAUAAUAUAAAGUUAUUAAAAAAUAGUUAAGAGAUCCACCCAUUUAUGUAUUAAUUACAUAAAUUAAAUUAUUUAAUUUAUGUCCUUUUAAUAUUUAAAAUCUCUAUGCUUUACUCAAUGACUAAAUUACCAUAUCCAAACAAAACUCUAUAAUAAGAAGCUUUCUACAUUAAAAAUACUUACAAGACUUAAUAUAACAAAGAAUGUUAAUUCAAGAAAGCUUCUCCAUCUAAUAUCUUUAAAAGAAUAAAAUUAAUAAAAAUAAAUAUGUAUAUAUAUAUAUAUAAAUAUGUAUAUAUAUAAAUAUGUAUAUAUAUAAAUAUGUAUAUAUAUAUAAAUAUGUAUAUAUAUAUCAAUAUGUAUAUAUAUAAAUAUGUAUAUAUAUAUCAAUAUGUAUAUAUAUAUCAAUAUGUAUAUAUAUAUAUAUAUAUAUAUAAGAAUAGUUGUAUUAACUAUGGUUUAUAUAGUUAAUAAAUCAUUAAAUAAGUAGCUCCAUAAGACUGAAAUUAUUAGUUUAUUCAUGACCAAAUACUUCUAUAUAAAUAACCAAUAAUAGUUAAUAUGUCAUACAUUAAUAAAAUAAUAAUUGGUAGGACAAAUAAACAUUAAGAUAAAAGAUUUAAUAGAAAAUGUAAUAAGAAUAAAUAUACAAGUAUAAAGUGUACUUAGAAAAUCAAAGUAAUCUUAUCUAUCAUCCAAAAUUUCAAAACAUAACAAGUAUUUCAUGUAGACAAAAUUAUGAUAUACAUACACUAACCUAUAUAAAUAGAGUUUAUGAAUGUUAAAAGGACAUCACUUGUCAAAUAUUAUUGCACAAGUAUGAGUCCAUAUUAGACAGCAUAAUACAUCAUUUCUACAUUACAUACGUAACCUGAAAUCAGAAAUUCCCUGAAAUCAGAAAUUCAAAACUAACAAGCGGACAAGACAAAAGAAGAGUGCUAUGGAGCGGAAGGAAGGAAGGGAAAGCGAAACGAGGGAGGAGAGGGGAGGUGGACAAGAAGAGAAGGCGAGAAGAGAGAGGGAGAGCGCAGAAGGCGAAGAAGGGGAGAAGGGGGAGGAGCUAAAAGGGAGCGGGCCAUGUGCGGAACACCUGGUUUCGCUCCGCCAUUCCGUGCCAGCAGCGUCGUCUUGAGGAUGUGAGACAGAUCCUGACGGGGGACCGGCCAUGGCCAGCUGCUUACAACAUCGUCAUACUCCUCUGUCCUGAUUUCUAUAACAAGUAGAUCUAUCUUACAUCUGCACUUCCCCCACCCCAACCCCCGCCCCCCACGCCCUAUGCUCUCUCUCUCUUCGCAUCACCUCAUUUCAAUUUAAUGCCCCACCCCUGCUGCUCUUACUCUCCUCCCCUCCCCCUUCGCUCCCUCCCUCCUCCAAGGGUUUUGUCCCUCGCCUUCAGAUCGUGGAGCCGGCACCAUGGAUGAAGAGUACGAUGUGAUUGUGCUGGGCACCGGGCUGAAGGAGUGCAUCCUCAGUGGGCUACUCUCCGUGGAUCGUCUCAAGGUGGGUGGGAUCGCAGAUCGUGGUUGAUCUGUGUGACUCGGGCGGUGUGGCGUAGCUGCCGGCUCUCUGGGUGUAGCGUGGAUUUGUGGUCGGCGAGGGAUGACGGUUUGCGUGGGUCGUGGUUGUGGGGGCGGUUUUGGAAGGAUUGUGUGCGUUGUUGGAUCUUUCCGGCAGGUUUGGAGCUGGGGUGGGUGGGUGUGGUGAGUCAGAGUCGAGGUGUGCGGUGAGGUUUGAAAGGGUUGGCGAGUCGCGCAGAUGGGUGGAAUGCGUAGUUGGCUGGAGGAUGAGUGGUGAAGAGGCUGUGGAGUCGGUGAUUGUAAUUCGUCCGACCCCGUUCCGGUUCCAGAGUUUUUUCAUUUCUUUUUGAUGGUACGUGUCGGUGGCAGGUGCUUCAUAUGGACAGGAAUGACUAUUACGGCGGAGCUGCUGCAUCUUUGAACUUGAACCAGGUGGGUGAUGUGCGAGCCCUGUAGUGUUGUAUUGAUCGAAUACAGUGGUGGCGGCGUCUCGUGUUCCCAAUUUAGGCGUGAGAUCGGUUGCCCGGGCUCUGGGUUUGAAUUGUGUGUUUGAGGAAUUUAGUGUGUGGGUGUGUACGCUUCGUUCAAUUAGGAUCUGUUUGCAAUUGAAGAGCGUCGCUCCCUUCGUUUAGACGCUUGUUGCGAUGUUCAUGGAACGGGUAUUCAGAUAUAUUACGCGAAAGCGCGCGAUCGGUUAGGUUUGAAGUUGAAGGCGUUGGUCGCACUGCUUCCCGUGGGGUUAUGGAGGGUAUCGGAAUCUGUUUUUGGAGUCAUGACUCGGGCAACUAGUGUUGGAGCGACGCGUUCCACCAAGUCGAUCAAUGAUCAUACAGGGACGAGCUACAUUGGAGCUAGGGAUUGGUUCAAAACAGUGUUCGAGCUUUCAAUAGUCAUGUAUCGGAGCCUGUGAUAAGUGUGGGGCGUUUUCUGUGUCGCAGUUGUGGCAGAAGUUCAGAGGGGAUGAGAAGCCUCCGGCGUCUUUGGGAUCCAGCAAAGAGUACAAUGUGGACAUGGUUCCUAAGGUAAUGAAAGAGUGGGCGUGAUGUGUUUCAGUUUGCAGUGAAUUCGUAUCUGUUGCGCCAUCAGUGGGUGUGUAGUAACACGUCCAGCCACUUACGUGCGCUGGUAAGUGCAAGUGAUGGGCGUCUGAAGAUUGGAAUGCGCGUUUUGUGUUGUAGUUCAUGAUGGCGAAUGGCGCUCUCGUGAGGGUGCUCAUCCACACGGAUGUAACGAAGUACCUGCUAUUCAAGGCCGUGGACGGCAGCUACGUCUACAAGCAGGGAAAGGUGCGCACUCGUGUGUUUUCCGUCGGGGAAACAUUCGUGAGGUUGCUAGAGUUGUUUGGUUUCCAUGUUGUGGUGGAGCGAUGCUUUGCGGUGGUUUCAUCCAGAGGCAUCUGGCAGAUACAAGAGGACCAGGUCCUUGGAGGGUAGCUGCAGGCACCGCGCUGCGCUUCUUACAAGCGGAGGAUGGUGUAGCCGCUAGCCGUGCAUUGAAGCCGUUUGUGGUGCCAUGAUGACAGGUUUAUAAAGUUCCGGCCAACGACGUGGAGGCAUUGAAGUCGCCCUUGAUGGGGCUGUUCGAGAAGAGGCGUGCUCGCAAGUUUUUCAUCUUUGUGCAGAACUAUGACGAGGAGGAUGCCAAAACACACGAGGGAAUGGACUUGCGGACAGUGACAACCAAGGAGGUUUUCGAGUAUGUGUCUUUCUUUGGCCGGAAUCUGUAGGUUGAUUUGCGAGGUGCAUGUGUGUCGGGCAUGGUCGCUUGACGUGUGUUGGAUCGUAGGGGUGGUUGUGACCACGGCAGUAAGCUUGUGGGGGGUAAUUCCGGCGGGUGCUGCAUCUCAUCGUGUAAACUGUGGUGCAGGAAGUUCGGGCUGGAUGCCAACACAGUAGACUUUAUUGGACACUCUUUGGCUCUGCAUCGCGAUGAUCGGUUCUUGUCGGAGCCAGCGUUGGACUUUGUGAAAAGAGUCAAGGUAUGCCGAACGUCGUGAACGCAUGGUUAUUAUCACAGUCAGUCGCUUUGAUUUCGUUCCCACCACUGCGCCGAGGAAGGCUUUGGGUAUUGCAGUGUGCACCGAUGUGGCUGAUUUGUGACGUGUUUUGGGACUGGUGCAGUUGUACGCCGAGUCGAUGGCACGGUUCCAGGGGGGGUCGCCGUACAUUUACCCGCUGUAUGGUCUCGGCGAGUUGCCGCAGGUAUGUCCUCAUGCCUUGCUGGUGCCUGUUUCCAUUCGUCCAGUGUACGGAGCACCGAUUGUACUGUGGCGUUGUGAAGCUGGAUGGGGAGAUUCGAGGUUAUGAGUAUGGCGUAACCACUACCAGAGAGUCAGAUUGGCAGUUCGCAAUGGGUGGUGCCAAACUGCAGGCUUUGGCAGCGGGAGUGGUUGAGGCAAUGGGUCUUUUAGGGGGCGAGCAACUUCUCCGUCGUUCUUAGCGCCGCGCGUGCGGGGUCUAAUGUGAUCCGAGUCUGAUCUGGGUACGUGAACUUUGUUUGUUGCAGGGGUUCGCCCGUCUGAGUGCAGUGUACGGAGGAACUUACAUGCUUGCCAAACCGGAGUGCAAGGUACAAGAAUGAUGGAGGUGGUGGUGGAGCCACCAGAUUUUUGUUUGUUCUCGUGCUUUGGUGGCGAACGAGCAGUCGUGGGUGGUUGGGUUGAUUGAAAACUGAGCGUUGUGGAUUUGACGUGAUGUAUCAGGUCGAAUUUGAUGAGAUGGGUCAAGUGAUGGGAGUUACAUCUGAGGGUGAGACGGCGAAGGCUAAGAAAGUCGUGUGCGACCCGUCAUACCUGCCGAAUAAGGUAAUGGAGCAUUGUAGGAUUUGAGGUUUUGUGUGGGUGCGCUUCGAAUGGAGGUCGUGGUUGUGGCGACGAACCAUCUUGUGUGGACGGAUCCGUUGAACAUGGGGCUUUGGUUGGUUUCAGGUGAAGAAGGUCGGGAAGGUGGUGCGUGCUAUCUGCUUUAUGAGCCAUCCGAUUCCGAACACCGGCGACUCCGAUUCAGUUCAGAUUAUUCUACCGCAAAAGCAACUUGGCCGCAGAUCGGACAUGUAAGUGGUGCAGCUUCGAGUGCCGUUUCGUGAGGAAUGACGUGGAAGUGUUAGGGUGCCUGAACGAUUGGAAGAGAGGGAGGCAGGCGUUGGUGUUAAUUAUGUGUCGGUGAGAUGUGGUGGCUGGUGAAGUGUUAUGUUUGGUCGUGCAUUUCUCUGGUACGGAGUUUGUGUGGUGUGUUCGAUGCUGACGUUUGAUCGAUACGGUGGCAGGUAUGUGUUCUGUUGUUCUCACUCUCACAACGUGGCUCCGAAAGGCAAGUACAUCGCGUUUGUUUCAGCGGAGGUGGAGACGGAGAACCCUGAGGCUGAGCUUCAGCCGGGGCUUUCCCUGCUGGGUCAAAUUGACGAGAAGAUUAUUGACAUGUACGACAUGUACGAGCCAGUGAACGAUUCGUCGCUGGACAACUGUUUCAUUUCAAAGGUAGUAAUUUCAAAGGAUCACUCACUGGGAAGUCGCAUGUGUACGUGGGGGGGGGGGGGGGUAGUGUAUUGAGGGCUGCCAUAUGUGUGUGGUGAAGAGUUGGGUCAAUUGUUGGUCCGGUGUCGAUUUGAGAACCUGGGAGACGAGUUGCGAGGCGUGGUUGAGCGGCUCGAUGGGAGGCGCUGUCUGCGCUGAUGUAGAGUUCGCAGAUUCGGGUUUUGAAAUGAGAGGGAAUGGUGUUUUUUUUGACGUGCUGUGUUUUGGUUUGUGUGCGUGGGGCAGAGCUACGAUCCAACGACCCACUUUGAGACGACGGUGCAAGACGUGCUUUCGAUGUAUACAAGGAUUACGGGGAAGAAUCUGGAUCUGAGCGUAGAUUUGAGUGCGGCAAGCGCUGCGGAGGAGUAGUGGUGAAUGUUAGGUCCGAAGGCGUUUACUUAGAGUAGAUUUUGGGAGUCUGGUUAUUCUGCCAGGGUCUAUUGUUGACUACUUUUGUGUAAGUCAAUUCACAUUUUACAUGUUAAUUUAAUGUCAUGAACGACGUGCUUUCCUGUAUCGAUGUGCGCCUUGUGGGGUGGUGGUGUGAUGUCAUGGACUUGGGUGUGGCAUGAGCUAUUUUGGAUGGGUGCAAAUAGUGAUAUGCAUGUUGCGUGCAAGCUGCAAGGCUCUCUCGAUGCUUCGGGUGCAUGCACGGGGAGACACACGCGGGACUGGAGGCAAUGUUGGAGCACGGUACAUGAGCCCGAGGGCUACUAAUUUGGACAUCACGCCUGGAGACGAGUUGUGGGAUUGGGAUGCCUUUCGAGAUAGUGAUUGCACCUUUUCCAAUUUUGGACAGCAUGAUUUUGUCAGCACGGAUGGUCGCUAUGGUCAUCGAAGACCGACGGGUUGCACCAGCUGGGUGUUCGAUGUUGACACUUGUUUGCGUGAAAUCGUAUCACGGAUUCGUGUGUAUUGUUUUGUUGUAGAGUUUGGAGAGGUGUUGCUCGGUCUUUACGUGUUUUAUUGUUAUUUGACAAAUACGUGUUGAACCUGUCACAUUUACUGAGUCACCAUCGAUGACGACGUAAUCUAUGUUAGUAUAAAUAUUGUUGUCUGAAUACUUCUGUUGUAUUGUUUUUGUAUAGAAGUUCUGUUACAUUCAUACUGCACGCUUGUUUACUUGUUCGUGUGUGGAUUGUCAGUUUGCUGUUUGGUGCUGUCGUUCCCCUUGUAAUCUUUUCGGGAGUUGGUUUUUUCAUAACCUUUCUCACCUCAUGAAUGUUAUGAUUUCUAAUUCUUAUUUUCUUCAGUUCCCGUCUGUAUUUGUGUUGUGUAAUGAUCAUGGUGUGUUUUAUUAAUAAAGCCUUCGAUUAGAGUAAUGUAGAACAAAAUGUAGUCUGAAAGAAAAUUGUUAUUUAUUGAGUCCAUUUGACUCGAAAUUUUUGAAAGUUUAGUGUUAAUUAUUGGGAAUUGAUAUUUCGACCCAAUAUUUUUACUAUUUCCAUCCAGCAUUGAGUUUCAUCUUCCACAUCAUUAUUGUUGUUGUGGUUUGGUGACUUGUUCAAUGGCUAUUUUGCUUUGAUUAGAUUUUUAAUGAAGGAUGCCUUUGUCUUUUUCAACAUAAGGAUCCUACAUGUUGGGGAUUGUUUAUGGUAACAACUUUCAACACAUGUGCCUUCAGUACAACUUCCUAUGCAAGGGUCUCAAGAUAAUUUUUUCCAAAUCACAGCUAUUGCUUAAAUUCAGCUAGUCACAAAAGCACAACAUAAACAACAAUAACAGUGUAGAGAGUGCAACAUCAAUGCUUGGUGGAAAUAGUAAAAAUAUCAUGUAGAAAUAUUUAUUUCCUAAAUCAUAUUGCAAAGAAGCCUUAUAUUUAUAUUUAUAUUGAAUCAAAUAUCCUUUAAUUAAAUUCUUUAAGAAGUCAAGAGGUUGCUAAUGAACCAAUCAUCUUAUUAACUAACCUUUCUAAGAUACAUGAUUGUUAAAUGGCAAUGCCUUCAUCCUACCAAAGUGUCUACUUUUAUAUAUUCUUGAUAUUGAAAAUCAAUCAAAACAAAACCCUGAAGACUCUUAUUGGAACAAUAGAAUCUGAGAAGAAUACCAUAAAAAAAUAGAAAAAUAUAUCUUAAAAAGUUACAUUACUCAAAUCCUAAUGCAAAUAACCAAAUGGAAUAAUCAAAGAGUUGGAAAAAUUGUAUUUUUUACUAAAUGCAAUAAAAAGCUCUAUGGAUAAAACUAUAUCUAAAAAUGAGUCUACUUUAAUAUGGCUUAUAUGAGACAAAAAAAUUGUACUGAAUACAUGGCAAGAAAAUUUAGAUAAAAGAAUAAAUAGAAAUUGGUCUAUUUAUCUCUCUAUUUUUAUAAAAACAAUAUUAUAUUGCUUUUUGGAAUGUCCUAUAACAAAGAAGGUUUGAGAAUAAAGAAGUAGUCUAUUAUAUCAACUAGGUGAAGUUUGGCCAAGUGAACAACCUUUGCCUGCCUUAAUUCUCUCACGAUCUAUCUUUGGAGAAGUUAUCCUUCAAAUUAAGGAUACAAAUAGACUAUGGCCACUUACAAUUGGAGCUUGCUUCUACAUUGUAUAAAAAAUAAUUAAAUGCUAAGAUAUUCAAAGAAAGAGUUUGAAAUAACUUCAAAGUCAAACUUACUAAAUGGAAUCAACUUAUAGAUUAUGAUAAAGCUAGUUAGUUAACUCAUCAAUAAGUAAAUAAUACACUAACACUCUAAAUUUUAUGCAAAUUUGAAGAACUAUUAACAACAACCACCAAACUAUGAGUGGUUGUCUUAGAUAUUCUUAUUAGAUGGAAAAAAAUUCUUCUAUUGAGAUUUGUCUCUUCCACUUGAUUUCUUAUCCUUAAAACUUUUUAGAUCAUUCUAUAUCUAUUCUAAUGGAAAAAAAAUUAGCUUCAAUAUUUGUCCAUAGUAUAGCUUAAGAUUUGUAGUAGUUAUCUUAGAUGUACUUUUGAAUUUUUGCAAAACUUAAAGAAUUAUUAGAAUUUUGAUUAAAAUAUUAUAAAUUUUAUUAGCAGCUAGUCAAAAAUUACUAUAAUAUUGUUUAUUUUUUGUACUUAAAUUAUUUUCUUAAAAAAAUAAUUUGGUGGAUAUAUAGAAUUUUUUUAAUCUAGCCAAUGUAUUUUUCAUGUUAUUUUGCUUUAAAAUAAUAUACUUUAUUCUUUACAUUUAUUUUUUAAUUAAAAUCUAAUCUUAACUAAAAAAAUAACAUUUCUUGUUAUUUCUUAUAAUAAUUCUUUUAUCAAACAUUUGUAAAGUUUAAAUUUUAUAGUAUUCUUUUUACCUUUUAAUAUCAAAAAAAUAAAUUUAAAAUUUUCUUCUAUUAAAAUAGCCAAUAAUUGGCUAUAUUUGUAAUAUUCUAUUGGUAUUUAAAUUUUAUUAUUUUAAUUAUAUCUCUUAAAUUUUUUUUGAAUAUAUAUCAUUAAUUGUUAUCAUUUAUCUACUAUCUCAUUUUUUUUUAAUUAUAAUUUUAAUAUAAAAGACUAUAAAAUCACAAAUUCCAUCAACUCUAAUUCUACAAAUUAGUUUUUGUGACAAACUCAGGGAUCUUGGUAAAGAAUUUUAAUGUAUGCUUCUAGGUUAUAUAAGACCUUUUUUUUAUCAAGUUCCUCUAUUCAAUGAAGAAAAAUUCUCACUUGGAAGCUUUGAUCUUUGGAUAUAAUAUGAAAUAAGAAUAGACUCUAAAAUGGACCAAAUCAUUCUUAAGUUACACGUCUAAAUAUGUCAACUUACAUCUUCAUUCUAAUAAAUAUGAAAUUUAUUAUAUGAAAAUUCUUAACAACAAUAUCCUAAAUGCUAUGUAAAAAAAAUGUACAUUCCACAUUAUCUUUUUUUAUUAGAUAUUUUUAGUUGGUUUUUCUGAAUCUUAUUAAAUCUAAAAUUAAAAUAUUAUUUAUCUUAAUUUGUAUUUUCUUUUCUUUUUCUUUUUGUCUUUUUGGUUACUUUAAGUAUAAACAAGGCAUUUGAGAGAACUUUUUUGUCCACCAUACAUGGUAAUAAUUAGAAAAAAUAAAGUAAUUUGAUCUUUAUUGAUGCACCAAAUAUUAAAACGUACAGAAUUUAUUCGAGUAUUGAAUACCUAUGGUGUUAAAAAGUUAGAAUGUUGAAAAUAUUGGAUGAUGAUGCGAAGGUUCAUAUAUGGUGAAUAAUUCAAUGAUGAAAAUUGAUUAUAAAGAAUGUUUAAUAAACUUAAACUUGUAAUGUUGUCUACCAAUAAAAUUAAGUAUAAUUCUUGUAUAAAUAUAUUUUUUUGUUUUUAAGUUAUUAAAGAGGUUUUGGAGCAUAAUUUACAUUAUAAUCACAUUAUAUGUAUGUUUUUAAUUUUAUAGGGACAGAAUAGACUUACAAUGUUUAAGUUAUUGUACAUGUUGCAAACAUAUUCAAAUGAAUGAAUAAUAUAGGGGAUAGACUUGGAUGAUUUGGAAAGUACCAACAAAUACUUAAAAAAUAAAAUAAAUUGAAGUUUACUCUUAAUGAAGUAUAAUGUCUUACUUAAGCUGAGAAUGUAUUAUCCAUACUAUCCUUUACUGACUGUAUAGAUUUUAUUCAGGUUCAUUGUAGUGCUCUUGUUGUAUCAAUAUCAUGGAAAGUAUUAUCAAAUGUUGUUAUCUUUGAAAUCAUAAAUAUAGAUAGGCAAAAAUUACAAAUUUUAUGCAUGUUUUUAUAGAAUACAAAAAAAGUGAUGAAGCUUAUCCAAAGAAGAUCCUACUUAAAUUUCGAGAAAAACUCUAUCAUUUCUCAGGUUACAAAGCUCAAACGACAUGUUGGAUUUGCCUUCCACUUCUUUCUCAUUUCAACUCCAGCAAUCCGGUAGCAGUUCAUUAUCUAGAAUGUUUGAGUUGAUUACCAUUUCUUACAUGGGUAAACACGCCAAAGUACACCCAACUGCGGCAACUGCAAGAGAAAAGCUUCCAGCAGGGUACACAAGGAGCAGCGCGGGGUUUUUACUACAUAUGGAGGGCGCAUCGGUGAAAGUUGACCAGGAGCUCGCACGAAGGGCGACGGAACACCUCCAGAAACAUGCUAUCGUCGCCUAUUUUGUCGGGGGUAAGCAACCUCCGUUUUAACUAGGUGGCUAGAUGCGGUUUAAGUGCAGAUCGGAGUUACGGUGGAGCUUGGGAGGACUUGGGUCGGGGUUUAUUCCAACUUCUAUGCUCCACCGUAUCCACUAAGAAACUUCUUAUGCUCACCCCACAUAGAUCGCAGUGGGGCACCUGUAUCUUGCAAACCUAGACACUGGUCUUCGAUCCGAGCCAUCCAAGAGGUCUUCGUGUCCCGACAUGAGUCGCGCUGCGUGGAAUACCAGGUGAGUUCAUGCAAGUUGCUGCACUAAUCGCAAGGGGAUUGUCUUACUGGGAAGCGACUCCCGUAACGCAAAUUCGACGGAGCAGAGAUUUUGUGUAGCCCUGGAGGGCCGGGUCGGUUGGCAAACGAUACUUUUGGUGACUAACGAGCUGUAUAGGGUUACCUCAGCAAUCAUGGUUGAUUAUUGCAACCUGCCGAUUAGGUGUCGCUUUUGCUUAAGCAUCGACCAUCUAAUUAUGGAUUGUAAGAGAUCCAAGGCUUCUAGAGGGCAGGCUGGUGAGGAUAACAAGACAAUGGCUAGUUCAGACCCUGUGAACUCGGCGCGGGCAACGACACAGACACCCCUGGCUCCAAUCACAAGAGGACGUGAGAGGGUUCCUCCUUCCCUCUCCUCCCUGCCUCCUCUCUUAGCCGAGAGGUCAAAAUCCGACGAUAUUUGUUGACUCAUCCGGGUCCUUGGAGGGUGAUCAAAGACAAAGCCCUGGAAUGCCCAGCGAAAGCACUGAUUGCAUUGGGAAUUAUUACUCUAACUAUAAAUCCCGCCUUAUUCCUAAAUAUGAGUGGAAUGGGUGGGAAAAAGUUUACCAGAAGAAGAAAGCUAUAAGAGGAGGUCCUCAACAACUACAACAAAGCACCCCGAAAUCCUUGCACCUUCUGUCAUCAACUUAAAGCAUUCAGAUCUUACCUCCCCACCCCCCCUGUUAACUACACUCUGCAAAAGACACCUACACCCUCCCAACCAAUUGACAUCACUAGAGUGGAGGGGUUGUCUUCAUUGAACAACAAGCUUGGAUCCAAAGGUCCAACUUCCAUACUUAACUACCCAUUAAAGAGAUAGAAUGGUCCCCUACUCCAAAGAAGGGCCAUGAGGAGGAAUAUUUAACAAUCCAUUAAGGAGAUAGAAUGGUCCCUUAUUCCACUCAUAUUUAGGAAUAAGGCGGGAUUUAGGUCUAUAAUAGUGCAAAAUAUCCAAACUUCCCUUCUAGAUUCUAUUGUUAUUAACAACAUGAAUAUCAAAAAACUAAAAGAUCAAUAUAUUUUUGGAUCACUCAAAAAUACUAAAUAAUCACUAAAAAAUGAUAGAAUAUUAAACUAAAAUGGCUAUUGUCAAAGAUAAGAAGAUUAGAAAGUCUUGAAAUAGGAUUAAAGACUAGAAAGACAUUGAUAAGAAUGAAGAAGGCUUUACUCUUGCCUCUAUAUAUAUAUUCUUAACUAGGAGCUAUGUGGCAAUAUCCUAUAGGACCUCCAAACGAUGUUAACUUUGCAAGACACAUAUCUUAACUUACAAGGUAAGUUUUUUAUAUGUGCGCUACAUAAUUAGCUUAUUUUGUAAGCUAUCAACACGUAGUUAAUUUCUUGACCAAGGUUGUAACCUAUUAAUCAACUACAAACAUAUGUAAAGUCAAAGCAUCAUCUAUGAAGCUUCUAGGAAGCUACUCUAGAAGAUAUUAUGAAAUUAACAUAUUUUUAUUAAUUUUUAUGUAUUUCUAUUUAAUCAUAUAGAUAUUUACUAGAGUACAUAUGUAUAUCUGUGACAUUACUCCUCCUUCUAGAGAUAAGUUUGACCAGAAGCGAUCUUCAUAUCUGGAAGAAAUUCAAGAUGCGGCAAAUUGUAUUUGCCACAUAUUUUGAUCUUUAUUUUCUUUGAAGAUAGUUGAUAGGUCCUUUGAACCAUUGAUAGUGUCCCAUACCAGGGUAAGAAGACCAUGUUAUUAUUUGAUUGUUGUGUGUCCAAAUUUCACCACUUGAUGAAACUGAUGUAACACAACAAGUUCAAAAGGUGGAAUAGGAGAACUCCCAAUUGUGUAAUUGUUAAGUUUAUUUAAAUCUUAAUAUUAGCAAUUCAAUUAAAUUUAAAUCUUCUAAGUAAUGCUUAUCAAUAUAAAUAAAAAAAUAAAAAAAUAAAAAAUUAAUGAGAUUACUAUGGCCUUUAAGGCUAUUUCAAUAAAUUUAAAUUCAAUCCGGUAUCUAAGCCACGAGAAAAUGCUUCUUCAAGUUAAAUCAAGACUGCCAUGGCAAGCAACUUCCCACUUCUUGAAAAUUAACCAAAAAUUCAGUUUGUCUUUAAAAUUAGUAAAAUUUAUGCCAUUAGAAGCUCAGCUUAAAGAUGCACUUACUUCCAAAAUUACAAAAUAAUCCAAUUAGGAGGCACUAAGAAAUGCCUCUUCAAAGGUGGUUGAUCUAAACUACUAAGGUAGCUAACUCCUAUGCAUUCAAAAUUUUACCAAAAUUUUGUCUAUAACUCUAAAUCAAGCAAUUCUUACCUUUCUAGAAAUCUAAAAAUAAAAGCUAUAACUAAAAAAAGAGUUCACAUCGAAACUCAAAAAAUUGAAUGAUUGAUUUUGGAAAAUCCGAGGUUCUUGAAUCUUUGGGAUAUUUGGGAGGCUGAGUUAGCUAUCUACCACAAUGAUCUAUUUCUUAAAAUCCAAUUAUCAACAUUCACUAUUUAAGAUCCAUGCAUAGACAACCACAAGUUCACAAAAAUCAAAAAAUAAAAUAAGAUUAGAAUUUAGGGCAAAAAUUUGGCAUGGCUUCACCCUUCACCAAAAGAAGAAAAUGGGAGGGCUUGGAAAACCAAGCCACUCUUAAAAAAUUGAGUGGUGGAUUAUAUUAAGAUAAAUUAUUCUUAUUCCUCAAUCCAUGCUCAAUUAUAAUUUUUAUGAAAUUUUUACUUACAAGGAUCUUAGCAAUUCUUGUAAAAUUCUUCAAAAUGAGAAUUUUAUUGCUUCACUUGUAUUUUGAAGGAGAGGAUACUAAUCUUAUUUUCUUCAUUCCAUAGAGGCCACCAUUGUAUUAAUAAGUCUUUUAUUAAUUAGAAGAACCACCAUGGCACUUAAAUUUGUUGAAUUUGGAAGAAAUUUUAAGACUAUCAUUAUUAAAAUUCACUAAAUCUUUUAAAAAAUUAUAAUUCUAACUCACUUUAAAUCAUGUGAAAUAAUUAUAGGGGAAUUCAUAGGCUUUUAAUCAACCUUCAUAGCAGUAAUUAAUAACUUCUAAAUUAUUAAAAGUAACUAAGUUGUUAUUUUAAUUUUCUAAUUGUUAUCACUUUGGUCCUAAUUAACCUAAUUCAAGGAAUUAAGCUAUAAUUUAUACCAUCAAAGGUUGCAAUCCUAAAAAUUCUAUAAAACUAAAUUCUAAUUUUAUAAAUUCUAAUUUAAUAUACUCAAUUAUCAUAAAAUAGAAAAAAAAAAUAUUAAAUUUUAGAACAUAAUUGAUAUCUCACAUGAGGCCUUUGUAACUUUUUUUCAAAUAAGACAUUUGGAAUACCAUCAUGAAUUGUUCCUAUCUCUAAUAAAAUCAUCAAACAUGGAGAGUAUCUUCUAAGGUUGUAAUACCAAAUAUAAUGUAUCUCACCAUCUUCAAAAAAAGACAUGUCAUUCUUAAGGUUCUUCAUCUUGAUUUUUUCAUCUUGAAGGUUCUCACAAUUGCAAUGUCUCAUUUCAUAAGUCAACAAGUAAUAGCUCUUAAGUUGAAUCUAUUGGUUGUUGGUUCUCCAUCUCUUUAGCAUCACAAAUACACAAAAGUUAUAAACAAGAGAACAAAAUAGAAUGCUAUCUUUCUUAAAUCUUGUAUCUUUUAUAGCAAAGAUUUGCUAUUCUUUAUUUUCUUGUUGAUUGAUGUCAUCAAUGUAAAGCCUCAAUUUCUUUUGCUGUAUUUACAAGAUUCUUUACUAACUCCUAUGUAUAUUUAUUAAUAUCAUGUCUAUGCCAAUAAACAAGAUAUUCUAAUGCAUUACACUGAUACCUUAAAUCUAAGACUUCUUCCACCUCAAACUCUUAAUUAUUAUUCACUUCUAUAGGAAGAGGUGGCAUUUGACUUCUUCUUGAGAUAUUAACUAUCUUAUAUGGCUCAAGAAGAGAUAUAUGAAAUAUGGGAUAGAUCUUCUUAGACUUCAAUAGAUGUAAUUGACAAUUCUAUUUAUCCAUCCAUUUUAGGAUGAAAAGAUAAAAAGCACCUUUAAAUCUUGAAAAGGAUUCUUCAAAAUCUUGAUAUAAAUUGAGUCUCCCUGUCCGAUAUAAUAUCUUUAGUGAAUCUAUGAUAGCGAUAGAUUUUGUUAAGAAAAAGUUUAGCCAUUUCUUUACUUGUGAUAGAUUUUGUACAUAGUACAAAAUAUAUGAUCUUAAUAAAAACAAUCUACUACUACAAAUAUAAAAUCAUACAAAUUUAAGACUAAAAGAUUUGUGAUAAAAUCCAUAGAAACAAAAGACCAUAGUUACUUUGGAAUAGGUAAUAACUCAAGAGGUCCAUAAGGUCAAUAGUGAAGAAUAUUGAACCUUGAACAAAUAUCAGAUGAUUUUAUAAAGUCUUUGAUUGUAUGGUAUAUUUGAAGUUACCAAAAAUCUCAUGAUAUUAGCUCCAAAGUCUUGUUAUAAUCAAAAUAUUUGGUUUUUAGAAAGUCAUGAUGAGUUUGAAGAACAAGUAAUUAUAUUCCACCUUCUAGAAUGUAUAAACAUCAUUUGAAAUAGAGUAGGUUGUUUUUGAAAUCAAACUUAGAAGUAUCAUGAGACUAAAAAAGAAUUAUUCUUAAUAUCAUGAACAAGAAGAUCAAAAGAUAUAUUUGAUUGAAUUUUUCUUGACAAAUAUUAAAUCAACAAAUAAUGUUGAUUUUAUUACUCAAAGGUAAAAAUGCUCUAGCUUCAAGAGAAUCAUUCUUUGUUGAACAAAAGAUGUAUUUUCUUCUUUUGGUGUAAGAUAAGAACAUCUAGAAAGGGUGUCUAAUAAACCUUGUUAUUUUUUGGAUUGAUAAGUGAUCUUCAAAUCAAAUCUUCAUAAAGACAUGCUUUAACAAACUUGACAAUGAUUUAAAACACGUACUGACAUGAAAUAAUUAAGUUUCUUGUGAUCUAUAUGCAUAGUGACUAGACUCGAGGUGCCUUCUUAGUAAUGAUACUAUUCUUGAAAUAAAUCUAUAAUUACAAGAAGUUUUUUGUCAUGGAUUUCAUAAUUAAUCUUGAUUGUUGAAAUUUUUUUGGAAUGAAAAGCUAUUAGAUGGAAUUUGUCAUGUGCUCCCAUUUUUCAUAAUACUACAUUUAAAGAAAAAUCUAAUGCAUCUAUUUCCAUAAAAAAAUAUCUUAAAAAAAAUAAUACUAUAUAAGAUUGUUACAAAAAUAAAAUCCUUUUUAAAGCAUUCAAAAAUGCUUUAGCUUUUUUAUUCUAUUCAAGUUUUUCUUUAUAAGUCAAAUACAUAAGUGGAGCUACAGUUUCAGAAAAAUUCUUGAUGAAGAUUUGAUAGUAAUUGGUAAAGCCCAAAAAACAUUACAUAUUCUUUAUUAUUUUUGAAAUCUUCCAAAUUAUGAUACUUUGGACCUUCUUCAAAUCAAUCAUUAGCUUUUUGUUAGAAAUGAUAUAUCUAAAGAAAUCAACUUGAGUAGUAUAAAAUACAUACUUUUCUAACUUGGCAUAAUCUUGCAUCUUUAAGUUUUUGUGACACACCACGAACAUAAAUUUUAUGCUUUUUGUGUUCUUAGAGUAGAUUAAGAUGUCUUCUAAAUAAUAGACAACAAAAACAUCAAGAAAAUCACAAAAGAUAUCAUUCAUUAAAUAUUGAAAAGCAGUUAGUACAUUCAUGAGUCCAAAAGUUAUGACAUUAUAUUCAAAAUAUCCAUACUUGGUUCAAAAUGUAGUUUUCCAUUCAUCUCUUUUUUUAAUGUGUAUCAGAUUAUAUGCUCUUCAUAGAUCUAUUUUUGUACAAAUCUUUGCUUGAUUUAGUUGAUCAAAAAGUCCUGAAAUCAAAAAUAGAAGAUAUUUAUUCUUGAUGGUGAUCUUGUCGAGUCUUUGAUAGUCCAAAUACAUUUGUAGAGAUCCAUCUUUUUUCUUUACAAAUAAGAUAGGAGCCCUAGCUAGAGAUUUAGAAUGAUGUAAGAAAUUUUUAACCAAAUUUUCAUCAAUGUAAUCUUUAAAUAUAACCAACUUGUAUUGUAAUAGGCUGUAGAUUGGUCUAAAUGGUUGAGCUCUUUCAUGAAGAUCGAUGGAACAAUCAUAAGGUGGAUGCUCUGAAAGAAUAUUUACGUUCUUUUUUUCAAAAACAUAUUAGAAAUCUUCAUAUCAGCUAGGAAUACGACUUGAUAUUUUCUCGCCAUAAAAAAUGGAUGUGGCAUAUAAAAAAAAGAUAAUCCAUCUUUUGUAGCAUGCAUAAAAGCCUUCACAUGUACUAGUAAGAGCUUGGAUGUACUAAACUUAUGUAUUUCUACUUGAUUAACGAGAUGUUGGAUUAAACUAUCAAAAAAAUAAAAGUUAUAAGAAAUCUUAUCUAUUUGAGAAUUAUACUUUUUUAACCAAAAUAAUCCUAAAAUAAUUGGAUUGGAUAGAGAUCUUAUUGUAUUAAAUAUUACUAUACUAUUAUAAUCUUCAAUUGCUACAUCUAAAGAAAAAAUCUCAUGUAUAACAUCUCCAAAAGAUAUCAAACAACCAUCUAUAAUUUCUACAUGUACAGGUUUAGUUUUUUUGAUUAAUAAUAUUUCUUGGUUUUAAAAAAAAUCUUUAUCUAUAAAAAAAGCUAAGGCUCUUAAAUCUAAUAAAGUUAAUACUUUGUGAUUUUUUUGGUCUUAAAUAAACUUCUAUUGUAAAACAAGAUGAAGGAUUUGAAGAAAAAAAUAGGACUUUUAUUAGGAGUUACAUAAGAUUCUAGUCGCACACUUUCUAUCAUAGUUGGAAAAACUUAUUUUUUGAUAGAUUAUCUUCUUUAGCAACCAUGCUUUUCAUUUUGUGGUUGUAUUGUUUCUUUGGACAAUGUUGAGCAGUAUGUUUAGCUUCUCCACAAUAUAAGCAUAAGACUUUUUGACAUCGUCAAGUCUUUUCUUACUUUAUGAGAGAUUUAAAAUGUAUUGUAUCAAUUUGUAUUGGUUCUGAUCUUGAAGAAUAAGUUUUUAAAAACUUGGGAGUUGCCAUCAUUAUUUGAUUUAUUCUUCUUCAACCAAAUCUUUGUUCUUCACAUCUUUCAAAUAAUCAAUUAUCGCAUGCAAUGGCUUGAGCAAUAAAUUGUUUCAAAGAUUCUACCUUUGAUAUUAUUAAUAAUAAAUCUUUGUCAUUAUCCUUCAAUCUAUAUAAAAAUUGAUUGAUAAGGGCUUUGUCAUUCUAAUCCAUGUUGCAAGCAAGGUUUUGGAAUUCAAUAGCAUAUAUAAUAGCUGACCGUGUUCCUUGUCGAAAAAGUAAGAAUUUAGUCUCUACUACUCUUUUUUGAUCACUUUCUUCAAAUAUGGCUCUAAAUACUUCUAAGAAUGAAUUCAAAUCAUAAAAGAGUUGCAAAUCCUUUUCCAUCAAAGAUGCAAAUGAAGAGAAAGCACUUUGUGAUAGAAAUGCACCUAUAAAACCAACUUGUGUAAAUCCAUCUAGAUAUUGGAAAUGAUGUAAUCUUAGAUAGAGCUUGACUUAUUAAAGAAAUCCCUAAAAUUUUGAUUUUUUUCCAUCAAACUUUUUAGGCAUACUAAUCCUUGUCCCCAUCAUACUUGCAAAAGCAAAAUCCUCUGGAUUUGAUUGCGAAUUUGAUCAACUUAAAUCUUUCAAUUGUACAACUUCUUGUCGCAAACUUUAAACUUUUUAUAUAGGCAUAGGCAUAAUACUUCCAUGAUUCAUUUUGAAAAUACAAAAAAAUUCCACUCUUAUAGUAUUGACAAGUUUAUAAAGAUCUACAAUAGUUACAAUUUUAUUUUCACUUCUUUUCAAAAUAAAAUCCAUAAUUGUUCUUUCUAUAGACAAUUCAAAUAAAUUCAAAAAGUUAAAUUAGAAGAAGAUAAUCCACAAAUUCUAAUACCAAAAGAAAAUUUUUACAAAGUGGGAUAAUCUACUCUCUUUAAGGAAAAGAUUAGUAUUAGAAAAUAAGAAUUUUUGUUUAAAAGUAGGUAGUUUGUAAACUUCAAAAUACAACAAUAAAAGUGAGAUAUUUCACUCACUUCUAAAAUAAGAUAGAAACAAUAAGUUAAUACUCUUGUCAAAUUAUCAAGAACAUGAAUCUCAAAGAAAGAAAAUCCUUAAAACACUCUUAUGUCAUUGAAAAGAACUAAAAAUUCAUUCAAAGAUAAUAUAAUAUUGAACUAGAAUGGCUAUUACUAAAAACAAGACUAAAACAUCUUGAAACAAGACUAAAGAUUAGAAAGACAUUAACAAGAGUGAAGAAGGCUUCAUUGUUGCUUCUAUAUAUAUUCUUCACUAGAAGCUAUGGGAUAUUAUCCUAUAUGACCUCCAAAAGGUGUUGACUUUGUAGGACACGUAUUUUAAUUUGUAAGACAAGUUUUUUAUAUGUACACUACAUAAUUAGCUUGUUUUGUAAGCUACCAAUACGUAGUUAACUUACUAAUCAAGUUUCUAACCUACUGUCAAGGAUAAAAACUUAAUGAAAAAAUAAUUCAGACAAGUGAGCCUUCACUCAAAGAGAGGUAACAAAAUAUAUAUAAACAAAUAUAUAUAUUGAAAGAGAAACUGGAAUGGCUAUUGCCAAAAGACAAGAAAACAAGAGACCCUUGAAACUAGACUAGAAGCAAGAAAAAAAUUGACAAGAGUGAAGAAGCCUUCACUCUUGUGUCUAUAUAUACUAUCUAACUAGAGGCUACGUGGCGACGUUCUAUAGGACCUCUAAUAUGUGUUGACUUUGUAGGACACAAGCCUUGACUUACAAGGCAAGUUUUUCUACGUGUGGGCUACAUAGUUAGCUUGAUCUUCAAGCUAACAACAUGUGUGGCACAUGGCCAACUUGUUGACCACGUUUUUAAUCCAAAAAGUCAAUUAAAGAUACCUAUGAAGUCAAAGCAGUGUCUAUGAAGCUUCUAGGAAGCUUCCAUAUUAAAUACUAUAGAACUAACUUUCUUUUACUUACUUUUACUUACUUCUACCUAUUUGUAUAUAUAAUUACUAGCUUACAUGAUUAUGUCCGUGACAUUAUCUCCUCUUUUAGGGACGAGUUCCACGAGGAGCAGUCAUCAUAUGUUAAGGAAAUCUUUGAUGCAACAAAUUAUAUUUGCCACAUACUCUGAUCUUUGUUCUCUUCCAAGAUGAUUGAUAGGGCCUCUCAACGAUCGGUAGUGUCUCAUACCAGGGCAGGAAGACCAGCCAAUUAUUUGAUCAUUGUUGAGGCCUUCGUAACUUCCUUCGAAUAGAAUAUUUGGAACACCAUCAGGAGUUGUUCCUACUUCUAGUACAAUCACCAAACAUCGGGAGUCCCUUCCCAAAUCGUGAUCCAAACGUUGUUGUAUUACGUGCUUUCCUACUCGAGAACGCGCCGGGUGUCUGGCUGUAGAAGGUAGUAUGGAGAUUCAUCAAUAGUCAAGCAGUCUAUCAGUUUUUACUGCUGGAAUAUAAACGACUGCAACAAUGUACCGUAAAUCUAUACGGAUGCUCUUCGACUGCUUAUCGAAGUCCUUUUUUUUCCCAGCCGGUAGGUAUCUAGACGUUACAGAGAACCCCGAACAACCCAAACUGUUAAUCUUCAAUACCCUUUUGUACUUACGAUCUUGUAUCCACUCACUGUCCUGUUAGAUUAACCCAAUAAAUUUCAUUCACUCCGCAUACUCAAUCCUAUAGACGCCCUUUUAAUCCUUCAAUCACAGACGUAACUUGAUUUUACAAAACAGUCAAGAGUAUUCAAACCCACUUCAAUAAAAAUCUUGAUUCACCAUUACAACACUGACUUCAGCAGCGAUUGCCUCAGCCUUCCCAAAACUCUACGAAGAAGAAAAAUCCAAAUUCUAUGUCUUUCCUUCUCCGACCCGAAGCAUGAAGCUCCUCUCUCUAAUCCCUUUGAUCUUCAAAAACCUCCAAUGAAAACUGAACUAGUAACCUUGCAAAAGCUUGAAAACUAGCUCCCCCCGAUUCCCCAGAGAAAAAAUAAAAACCCCCUUUCAAAACUAUAUCCCCCCUAACCUUAUCCUCUAAAUUUCUUCAAUCUUCCAUCUUAGAUCCGAAAUUGGCUCCCACCUCAAGCUUGGAUCCGAAAUUGGCUCUCGCCGUCAAGCUUGGAUCCAAAAUUUGCUCUCGCCGUCAGAGCUUUCUCCUCCGUUUUUACCUUUAAGAAAUCCAUUUAUCGAGAACAACGUUCCCUGAAAUGGCACAGAGAACAGGACAGCCUGAAACAGAAUCGAAUCCCGUAAUCGGGACCACAUUGAGUCGCCGGACCAAUUCAGGUCCCAUAUUGGAAAAGAUGCCCGUAGUAACCUGGAUGUUCCUGUAAUUGGGUCAAAUUGGUCCUCACGUCAGAUUGGCUAAGACCUGUAGUAAGACCUGGAUUUCCCGUAAUUAGACUGCAUUGGGUUGACCGGCCAAUUCAGGUCUCAUAUUGGAUAAGAGGACCCGGAUUGGAUUCUCGAAAUUGGAUCCAAUUGGCUCCUCGAACUCGUCGUGUGAAUUGGUCCUUCUCUUCCUGCUGACUCCCGUUAUUGGAAUCGAAUGGAGCAUUUCAGUAUGCCCCGGCUGACUGUAACGGAGUGACUGAACCUGACCACUCAGUAUUUGUACUGGAGUUGGUGGAUGCUCCCAAUAUUCGAGGUAACUGAAUAUUAAUAAAAUUCUCCUUUCUUUUUAUUUUCACUGUAUACUCGUAUUAGAACACGACAACGCGUUGUAUCUUGCCAUCUAAUGGAGGAAGAACAUGUCAUUCUUGAAGAUCAUCAUCUCGAUUGCAUCGUCUUAAAGGUUGUGACAAUCAUAAUGUCUCGUCUGACAAGUCAGCAAAUAAAGGCUCUUCAGUCGAAUCCGCUCGUUGUAGGUUCUCCAUCUACUGAGCGUCACUACUACAAAGAAGCUACGAACAAGAAUUGAAAGUAGAAUGUUAUCUUGCCUAGAUGUUGUUUCUUUUAUAAAGAAGGUUUUCAUCUUGAUUUUGAUGGAUGUCGUCCAUGAAAAGCCUCCACCGUCUUUAUUGUAUUUGCAAGAAUCUUUAUUGGCUCCUAUGUACAUUCAUUAAUAUCAUAUCUGCGCCAAUGGACAAGAUAUUCUAAUUUAUUUUGAUACCGCCUUGAAUCUAAGACUUCUUCUACUUCAAACUCUUCAUUAUUGUCCACUUCUAUAGGAGGAGGUGGAGCUUGUCGUCUUCUUAGUAUGUCCACUGUCUUGUAUGGUUCAAAAAGAGACACGUAGAAUACUGGAUGGAUUUUCAUUGACUCUGGUAGAUGUAAACAAUAUGCAACUAGAUUGAUUUGUGCAGAAAUAGAAAAUGGUCCCAACCUUCGAUAGUCCAACUUGUCACAAGGACAAGUAGUCUUGAUAUUGCAACAAAGUAGUCAUACCUUAUCACCUAAGAGGAAUAGUGGUUGUUCCUUUUGAUAGACAUCCACAUUGACCUUUUGUUGUUCUUGAGCCUCUUUUAACUUCACCUUCAUCGUUGCAUAUAGCUCUAAUAAAUGAAUUGCCAAAUCUUUCGAAGCAAGAUUAUCAACUUUUGAAAAAUCAAAAGUAUCAAGUCAUGGAUGAUAACCAUAAUUAGCAAAGAAAGGUGUUUGUUUUGUAGAAGAAUGUAUCAUGUUAUUGUAAGCAAACACUACCAAUGGUAAAAGAGUUGUCCAAUCAUCUUAUUGGUAAAUAAUGGUACAUCUUAAAUAUUACUCCAAAACUUGAUUAACACGCUCCGUUUGUCCAUCAGUUUGAAGAUGGAAUGCCGAUGAUAGUUUUAUAUCCACUUUUAGAAUCUUAAAAAGAGUCCGCCAAAAUCUCAUACAAAUUGAGUUCCCCUUUCUGAUAUAAUAUCCUUGGGUAAUCCAUGAUAGCAAUAGAUAUUGUCAAGAAAGAGCUUAGCUAUUUCUUCAUCUGUGAUAGAUUUUGUACAUGGUACAAAAUAUGCCAUCUUGAUAAAACGAUCUACUAUCACGAAUAUAGAGUCAUAAGAAUCUGAGAUUGGAAGAUCCAUGAUAAAGUCUAGAGAAAUAGAAGACUAUGGUUGUUCAGAAAUGGGUAAUCGCUGAAGAAGUCCAAAAGGUCGAUGACGAGGAGUUUUUGAUCUUGAGCAAACAUCACAUGAUUGUACAAAAUCUUUAACUACCUUCCACAUUUGAGGCCACCAAAAAUCCCUAGAUAUCACCUCCAAAGUCUUAUUAUAUCCAAAAUGUCCUGCUACUGGGAAGUCGUGACAAGCUUGAAGAACACGUAAAUGUGCUUCUCCUUCUGGAACAUAUAGGCGUCUUUCGAAAUAGAGUAGGUUGUUCUUGAAUUCAAUAUUAGAGGGAUCAUGAGAUUUAGAAGAAUUAUUCUUAAUAUCAUGAACAAGAGGACAUACUUAACUACACUUGCUUUAGAAAAGUUAAAUCAACAGUCAAUAUUGAUUUUAUUGCUCGAAGAUGAAAUUGCUCUGGCUUCAAGAAAACCAUUCUUUGUUGCUCAAAAGCUACAUCUCCUUCUUUUGGUGCAAGAUAAGAAUGUCUAGAGAAGGCAUCGGACAAACCUUGUUGUUUUUCUAGCCGAUAAGUGAUGAUGAAUUUCAAUCUUAAUAAAGACAUUCUCCAACAAGCUUGACAAUGAUUUAAUACGGGUGUUGACACAAAAUAUUCGAGGUUCUUGUGAUCCGUAUACACGGUGACUUGGCUGGAAGCGCCUUCUAGAUAAUGAUGCCAUUCUUGAAAAGAAUCCACAAUUGCAAGAAGUUCUUUGUCAUGGAUCUCAAAAUUGAUUUCUGCUAUUGAGAAUUUUCUUCAAUGAAAGGUUACUGGAUGAAGUUUGUCAUGUGUUCCCAUUUGUGAUAAAAUUGCACCCAAACAAAGUCUGAUGCAUCUGUUUCCAUAAAGAAUGCUUUGGAAAAAUCAACACGAUACAAGAUUGGUACAAAAACAAACGCUGUCUUCAAAGAUUCAAAAGCAACUUUCGCUUCUUGAUUCCAUUGGAGUUUGUCUUUACAAGUCAAACGUGUAAGUGGAGUUGCAACUCGAGAGAAGUCUUUGAUGAAGAUCUGAUAGUAGUUGGCAAAUCCCAAAAAACAUUCGACAUCUCUUACCGUUUUUGGGAUCUUCCAGUCUAUAAUAGUUUCAACUUUCUUAGGAUCCAUCAUAAGUCCAUCAUUUGAAAUGAUGUAUCCUAAGAAAUCGACUUGAGUUGUGUGGAAUACACACUUUUCUAUCUUGGCAUAGAGUCCUGCAUCUCUUAAUUUUUGUAACACAUGAUGAAUAUGAAGUUCAUGUUCUUCUGGAUUCUUAGAAUAGAUCAAGAUGUCAUUUAGAUAACAAACCACUAAGUUGUCCAAAAACUCUAGAAAAACAUCAUUCAUUAGAUAUUGAAAAGCUACUGGUACAUUUGUAAGUCCAAAAGGCAUGACAUUGUAUUCAAACUAUUCAUACCUAGUUUGAAAUGUAGUCUUCCAUUCAUCUCCUUCUUUGAUGCGUACUAGAUUGUAUGUUCCCCGAAGUUCUAUUUUUGUAUAGAUCUUAGCUUGACUCAGUUGAUCAAGAAGUCCACAUAUUAAAAGUAGUCGAUAACUAUUCUUGAUGGUAAUCUUGUUGAGUCCUCGAUAAUCAACACACAUCCGUAAUGAUCCAUCUUUUUUCUUCACAAAUAGAAUUGGAGCUCCUACUGGAGAUUUUGAAUGGUGUAUGAAAUUCUUGGCUAGAUUUUCUUCAAUAUACUCCUUGAGUUCAGUCAACUCAUUCUGUGAUAAACUGUAGAUUGGUCCGAAUGGGGGUUGUGCUCUUUCUUGAAGGUCAAUUGAGCAAUCAUAGGGACGAUGUUCCAAGAGUGUAUCCGUAUUGUUUUUUUUGAAUACAUCUUGAAAUUCUUGAUAUUAGCUUGGAAUGCCUCUUGAAGUCUUUUCACCAGUAGAAACAGGUGUGGCAUAAAUAAUAUAUGGUGAUUCUUUCAUAGCAGCAAGUAAGAAAGCUUUUGCACCUAUAAAUACGGGUUUAAUUGAACUGGACUUAUGACUCUCUACUUGAUUAACUACACUGUUAGUUAUACUUUUAGAGAAAGUAAGAGUUCGAGAAAUCCAAUCUAUUUAAGGGUUGUAUUUUUUUAACCACGAUAAACCUAAAAUGAUUGGAUUAGAGAGAGAUCUAAUGAUAUUAAAUACUACAAAACUAUUAUGACCAUUGAUUAUUACUUCUAUAGGAAGGGUUUUGUGAGUAAUAUCUCCAAAAGACAAUGGACGACCAUCUAUGACUUUUACAUGAACAGGUUUAUUUUUCUUUAUUAAAGAUAUGCUAUGUCUUUUAGUAAAUUCUUCAUCUAAAAAACACGUUGAGGCUCCUGAAUCUAACAAGGUAGAGACUUUGUAAUGUUUAGGUCCUAAAAUAACAUUUAAUGUAAAACAAGGAGAGGGCUCUGAGGAGAGAAUAGGAUCUUUAUUAGAUGUUGUGCAAGGUUCCAACUGCACGGUCCCUAUUGUAGCUGGAUAAACUCGUUUUUCAACACAUUGUCUUCUUUCACAACCAUACUCUUUAUUUUAUGAUUAUGUCGUUUCUUUGGACAAUGUUGAGCAGUGUGCUUUGGUUUUUCAUAAUAUAAACAUAAUCCUUCUUGACGACGACGAGUCUUUUCUUGUACAGUAAGAGGUUUGAAAUGUACUACAUCAAUUUGCAUAUCCUCUACUUCUGAAUGUAUGUAUUGAAGAGGUGUUGAUAUUGCCAUUGAAUUAUAGUAACGUUGAGGUCGGUUCUCAGAUCGGAAUUCAAAAAGGUGAUUGUCGCACUUCACAGCAAAGUCAAUUGCUUGACUCAAUGUUUGAGGAUUAAGUAAGUUGAGUAUUAAUUUUUUUAUGUCAUAUUGUAAUCCGUAGAGAAAUUGGCUCUUAAGUGCAGCAUCAUCCCACUUGAUAUCUGUUGUAAGUUGUUGAAAUUGUGAAGCAUACAACGUUAUUGAUCGAUUACUUUGUCAUAAAAUAUGGAUCUUAUUGGUUGCAACAUGAAUUGCAUCAUGUUCUCCAUACAUGGAUCGAAACUCUAUCAGAAAAGCCUCUAGAUUAUCCAAUAUUGGAUCUCGUCGUUCAAGAAAAGAUGAAAACCAUGAUAGUAUUGAAUCUGGAAGAAGCAUACCAAUGAAUCUAACUUGCAAUCCUAGAGUUCGAUAGCUUUGGGGUUGAAGUUCAAUCACAAGUUACACUUGAUUGAUAAAUCCUCGAAACUUGGAUCUGAUGCCAUCAAACUUCUCAGAUAGGACAAUUCAUGGUUCUCUAACAUUUGAAGGACGUUGUCGUGUUGUAACACGAGUAUACAGUGAAAAUAAAAAGAAAGAGGAAUUUUAUUAAUAUUCAGUUACCUCGAAUAUUGGGAGCAUCAACCAACUCCAAUACAAAUACUGAGUGGUCAGGUUCAGUCACUCCGUUACAGUCAGCCGAGGCAUACUGAAAUCCUCCAUUCGAUUCCAAUAACGGGAGUCACCAGAAAGAGAAGGACCAAUUCACACGACGGGUUUGAGGAGCCAAUUAGAUCCAAUUUUGAGAAUCCAAUCCGGGUCCUCUUAUCCAAUAUGAGACCUGAAUUGGCCGGUCAACCCAAUGCAGUCUAAUUACGGGAAAUCCAGGUCUUACUACAGGUCUUAGCCAGUCUGACGCGAGGACCAAUUUGACCCAAUUACGGAAACAUCUAGGUUACUAUGGGCAUCUUUCCCAAUAUAGGACCUGAAUUGGUCGGGCGACUCAAUGUGGUCCCGAUUACGGGGUUCGAUUCUGUUUCAGGCUGUCCUGUUCUCUGUGCCGUUUCAGGGAACGUUAUUUUCGGUAAAAUGGAUUUCGUAAAGGUAAAAACGGAGGAAAAAGCUUGACGGCGAGAGCCAAUUUCGGAUCCAAGCUUGAGGUGGGAGCCAAUUUCGGAUCUAAGAUGGAAGAUUGAAGAAAUUUAGAGGAUAAGGUUAGGGGGGAUAUAGUUUUGAAAGGGGGUUUUUAUUUUUUCUCUGGGGAAUCGGGGGGAGCUAGUUUUCAAGCUUUUGCAAGGUUACUAGUUCAGUUUUCAUUGGAGGUUUUUGAAGAUCAAAGGGAUUAGAGAGAGGAGCUUCAUGCUUCGGGUCGGAGAAGGAAAGACAUAGAAUUUGGAUUUUUCUUCUUCGUAGAGUUUUGGGAAGGCUGAGGCAAUCGCUGCUGAAGUCAGUGUUGUAAUGGUGAAUCAAGAUUUUUAUUGAAGUGGGUUUGAAUACUCUUGACUGUUUUGUGAAAUCAAGUUACGUCUGUGAUUGAAGGAUUAAAAGGGCGUCUAUAGGAUUGAGUAUGCGGAGUGAAUGAAAUUUAUUGGGUUAAUCUAACAGGACAGUCAGUGGAUACAAGAUCGUAAGUACAAAAGGGUAUUGAAGAUUAACAGUUUGGGUUGUUCGGGGUUCUCUGUAACGUCUAGAGACCUACCGGCUGGGGCAAAAAAAGGACUACGACAAGCAGUCGAAGGGCAUCAGUAAAGAUUUACGGUGUAUUCUUGCAGUCGUUUAUAUUCCAGCAGUAAAAACUGAUAGACUGCUUGACUAUCGGCGGAUCUCCAUGCUACCUUCUACAGCCAGACGCCCGGCGCGUUCUUGAGCAGGAAAGCACGUAAUACGACAUAAUUGGUGAACCCGAUGUGAAAGCUUGAGGUAGAAGGUAUUGAAUUUUGGUUGAUUUUAUCUUUAUUUUUAUGGAAAACGAAAAUAAAAAUUUUGAAGGAUUUUUGAGAGAAGUUUCUGGUGGGGAGUCUUCUAAAGGACAAGGUAUGCACAUGGAUCCGUCUAUUGCUAGUUUGUUUCAAGCCUUCGCAUUGUCAAUGCAGCAACAGCAAAGCAAUGAUCGAAAGGAAGCUUUGGCAACCAAAGCAUUGCAAGUAGUGGUCAAUAAAAUUGAUCAAUUUGAUGGGAAGAAUAUUUCAAGGUAUUUAAGAUGUUAUGUUCGUGAAAUGGAAUUAAAUCGGGUUUCUGAGAAGAAAAUGGUUGCACUAUUUGGACUUGCCACGAUACCGGAGAUAAGGGACCACAUUACAUCGAUUACGGAUCGUUGUGGGAAUUCAUGGGAGGAUUUUUCACAUGCAUUGAAAGACGAAUAUUUCUUGGAAGAUGCUGAUCGCGUUACUAAGAAGCUGUUUCUGGGAUGGAUUGAACGGCCCAAUAAGAAUUUACAAGCAACAGAGCUACUAAGGGAAUUUGAGAGGCAGUACUCUCAAUUAUCGAAGGUAGAAAAAUUGACAUUGGAGCCGAACAAAGUUGAUCUAUUUGUUCAAGCUGCUGAUGGAGAAUUGCAAGAGAAAUUAGAACCCCUUCUUGAAGACAAAGAAGAAGAUGAAGGAUUGACAACGAAGUGGAAGAACGUUGAAGAUGCGGUGGGGUUGCUUACAAAAAAAGAAAGGAGGAAGGAUAGGAGUAAUAUUCUGAAAACAGUACAAGCACUCAAAGCUCCAGUACGUACAACACCACCAACAAUGCCUACAAUUCAACCUUCGACAUCCUUGUCAAAAAAAGCAGAUAUGGAUAUGGAAGAAAUUAUACGAGGAAUGCCAAAUCUUCAAAUCAAAUUGGCAAGACUUGAAGAGAAUACUUCUAUAAAUAAUUCAAAGAAUGUUUCAAAACAAGGAUAUGUACAAAGAUGCAUUUGGUGUGAUGAUGCUUCACACACUAGAAAAGAUUGCAAUGAAUUUAAUAAUAUGAUACGGCAGGGAAUUAUUUGCUGGAAAGAUGGGAAGAUAGCAUUGAAAGAUAGGGAGGAUCUUCUUCAAACCAAUUUUGGCAAGGGAGGAAUGAGAGCAUUGGUUCAAGAUUACUUAAAAGAGCAUGAAACAGUAGUACGAGAAAGUGCAAGUUAUGGUGCUAGAGUAGAUGAUGAAAUUGGUGGAAGUACGGAAACUAGAGAGUUUUGGGCUUCUGCCAUUUCUACAAUGCAAGAAGGGAAAUUACCUCGAGAAUCGUUAUUGAGAACUGCAGCUACAAUACGAGGUAGAACAGCUUGGGAGGAUCCUGUUGAGUCUCUUUCAGUUCAUGCAUAUAUUGCUAAGAGCUAACAUGAAGCUUUGAUGGAAGAAAAAAGACGAGGAAAUUUUGAUGAUACUAGAGAAGGAAAUUCUUUUAAGAGGCAAACUCGAGGAGACAAGGCUUUGGAGGCAACUUCAUAAGAAUUUCAUGUAAAGGAUACCUCAUCAUCAUUGGGAGAAAAAACAACGGAGACAAAAGAUAAGGGCAAAUCAAUUACUUAUAAACUACUUUCUGACAUUGAAGCGGCAACAAAUUUGAAAGGGGUGUUGGAAGAACGUAUAUUAAACGCUAAGGUGGAAUUCACAUUGAAAGAAGUCUUAGGAAUUGCAAAGAAGGAGUUUCAUGAUGUUAUCAUUGACAGCAUUAAGCGAAAGAGGCAAUUAAUGGGCGAAACUGCAAUGAGUCAUGCUAUUGAUGCAAGAAUAUGUAGAGAUGAAGAAGAGGUUGAUAUUGGUUACAAGCAACCAACAAAUGAAAAGAAUGGAUAUAAUCAACGAGUACAUUUCGAAGAUUCUAGUGACAAGGAAAUGGAAACUUUGAGCCAUUAUACUCGAAAGCAUUGGGCAAGGGCAACUACUGAGGUAUUGGUGAAAGUAGGAGAUAUAGAAGAACCAAUAGUUGCUUUGGUGGACCAUGGUUCUGAAAUAAAUCUCAUGUCUAAAGAUCUUUAUAAGAAGCAAAAAUGGCCAAUUGAUAUGGAACAUGGAUGGGCAAUACGAGCAGCUAAUAACACAUGAGGCAAAUUAUAUGGAGCUUGUCCAGAUGUCAAAAUUCGGAUUGGGGAUGUUGCGACGGAGCAACAUUUCUUCGUUCAAGAUACAACAUCUUAUCCGUUGAUUUUAGGACAACCUUAUAUCACGGCAACACGGAUGGAAAUAAAGGUACUUGACGAUGGUUCUGCUUAUGCAAGGAUACGGAGCAAAGAUGGGAGGAAAGCUGUACAAUUUCUAACAGUACCUCCUAACCAUGAACGGAAUCGAGAUAGGUUGAGGGAGAAACCAUUGCCAAAGAUUGUUGAAGGAUUUAAGGAUUUUGGGGAGGUACCACUGUAAAGUGAGAUUAUGGAGGUACAAAAGAGGAGAAACUCUCGUGAGAUGAAGGUGCCUUUGAUGCGAGUUUUAUUGGUAUAUUGGAAAAUGGAAAUAUUAUGUAUAAGAAAGUUGAUGAUUUUAAAAGAAAAGAAAGAAAAAGAUUAUAUAAUAUUGAAGGACAAUUACGCAAGAUAAGUGCAUUGCAAGAGGAUGAGAGGAUUUUGGGUGUUUAUGAAGAAAAUGGGCUGGAAGAUUCAUUGGAAUUGAUUACAUCUAUUGGGUUAGGGGAUAAUGAUAAGAUUGUUGAGAUUCAUUCGAGAGAGGUUUAUACCAUGCUUGAAUCUUUUCAAGCACCAGAAGUCACAGUAGAGACGAGAUAUAAAACGGCAGAUAAGAAGGUAAAGCCUGUUGCCGGACCAUUACCAGAGGAUUCUAAAGAACAAAUGGGAGAAGCAUCAAAAGAAGCAAGUUUAAGAGAUCCAAUGAGUAUUGGACAUCAGUUUACUGAAGAGACUUUUGAAGAAUUGAAGAUUGGUUUUGAUGGUUCUUUAUUAUCUGAGGAAAUUACUUGCUUCAAAAAGAUGUUGGCUAAACAAGGUAGAUCGUUUGUCUUUGAAUCUCAUGAAAUUGGGUGUGUGGAUCCAAAUAUUAUAACACCUAUGGUUAUCUUCACUGUACCGCAUGUAUCUUGGAAUCUAAGACCGAUUCCAGUACCGAGGGCACAUUUACCUAAAUUGGUGGAACUAUUAAAAGAAAAGAUAAAGAUGAAAAUAUUGGAACCUUCAUUUGCGCCGUAUUCUAGUCGAUGGUUUACGGUACCUAAGAAGAAUGGGUCACUACGGUUUAUUCAAGAUAUGCAACCGAUGAAUGCAGUAACUGUCAGGAAUGCAGGAAUUGGACCUAUUGUGGAUGAAUUUACUGAGGCGUUUGCUGGAAGGGCGAUCUAUUCAAUGGGUGAUUUGUAUUCAGGUUAUGAUCAAUUUCAACUUGCCGAAGGAAGUAGAGAUAUGACAACGAUGAGGACACCGCUUGGAUUGGUUAGAAUGUGCACUCUUCCUCAAGGCGCGACCAACUCAGUUGCACAUAUGAUGAAUGGGAUGAAUAAGGUAUUGAGAGAUUUUAUUCCAGAAAAGACUAUGCCUUUUCUGGAUGAUGUUCUUAUAAAAAGGUACUGAGAAGGAGACAAGGAUGAAACUUUAAAUAAGAAGGGAUGUCGCAAAUAUGUUGUUGAUCAUAUACAAGAUUGUGAAAAGAUGUUAACGCAGCUUGGAGAAGUUCAUCUUAUAUUAUCGCGUAUGAAGUCCGUAUUUGGAGUGCAAGAGGUUGUAAUUGUUGGACAUUUAUGCGGAUCUUAUGGAAGAAAAUCAGAUCCGACUAAAGUUGAUGCAAUUGGAAGGAUGAAAGAGGAUUGUGGUUCUUUAACAGAGGUUCGCAGGUUUUUGGGUGCAUGUGUAUUUUAUCGAAUCUGGAUCCCUCAUUUUGCUCAUAUAGCGGAUCCAUUAUAUGAACUAUUACGCAAGGAUUACCGAUUUAAAUGGGAAGAAAGGCAUAUUCAGGCAAUGCAAAGAUUGAAGAAAUUAUUGAUGUCACCUCCAAUAUUGAGGAAGGUUGAUUAUAAGUGCAAUAGACCAGUGAUUCUUACUGUAGACUCUAGUCCAAUUGCCGUUGGAUGAACGGUGGGUCAAGAUGAUUCGAAUGGGAGUAGAUUUGCAGUUCGAUUUGGGGCUAAAGUUUUAAGUAUUCGUCAGCGUGCAUAUUCGCAAGUCAAAAGAGAACUUUGGGGAUUCGUUUCGGCUAUGAAAGCUGAAAAGGACUAUUUGAUUGGGGCAGUAGUAGUAAUUGAAACAGAUUGCUUGCCAUUGCUUGGAAUGAUUAUUAACUGUUCAACGCCAGAUAUUGCAAUGUUGAGAUGGAUUGCUUAUAUUAAGUCACUAAAUCCAGAAUUUAAGCAUAUCACUGGAAAGGACAAUUUAGUAGCAGACAUGCUAUCUCGAGCAAGAUACGAGAGGGAGGACAAAAUGGUUGAAGACAUUGAUGAUGUCGGAUUGAAAUUCUAUUCAAUAUCUAAUCUCAACAGGGAAGACAAGCUAUUUCUUAAAGAAUCUUAUGAAGGAGAAUUAUUGGAUAUUGGUCAUUACUUGAAUACCUUGACUAAGCAGGAGAAUUGGUCUACAGAAAAAUUCAAACAAAUAAGAAAAAAAGCAUAUGGAUUUUUACUUCGAGAUGGAUUCUUAUGGAAGAGACCGAAGAAAGGAAUUGAGAUGUCACAACGAGUGAUAGGCAAAAGGGAAGAAAAACUAAAAUUAUUAAAGGAGUUUCAUGAUAGUUUAUGGGCAGGGCAUAGAAGAAUCUGGGCUACUUUUGCUAAGUUCAAGGAACGAUAUUGGUGGAAAAAUAUGUAUCGAGAUGUGCUCUCAUUUGUAGAGUCAUGUGAAAUCUGUCAAUCGUAUUCUAAUAUCCGACAUCGAGAUGGUCUUCAUCCUACGUAUCCUCUGGCUAUUCAUUUUAAAUGGGUUGUUGAUUUGGUUAUUAUGCCGGUUGGGUUAUGGCAAUUGAGAUAUUUGGUUUUAGCUCGUGAAGAUUUAUCAAAUCAAGUAGAAGGAAGAGCCUUGAGGACAAAAUCUAUAGAGGGGAUUUGUAUGUUUUUGCUUGAAGACGUCAUUUGUCGUUACGGGUGCGUAGGAAAAAUCACUGCAGAUCGUGGAGAAUUAAAUGCACAAGAAGCUCGUAGGUUCNNNNNNNNNNNNNNNNNNNNNNNNNNNNNNNNNNNNNNNNNNNNNNNNNNNNNNNNNNNNNNNNNNNNNNNNNNNNNNNNNNNNNNNNNNNNNNNNNNNNNNNNNNNNNNNNNNNNGAAGGUUAAAGAGUGGCGCACGGCUUUUGUCAUUUGCAUUAUGGGCUGAUCGAACAACACAUAGUUCGGUGACAGGAUAUAUGCCAGUAGAACUUAUGACAGGUCAAAAACCAAUUAUGCCGAUUGAAGAAAAGGUACUUACUUGGAGUAUGCUACCAUGGGAAGAUGGAUUGACAAGAGAAGAACUUCUGGCUAUUAGGAUUCGACAAUUGGAGCAAAGAACGGAAGAUGUCCAGAUAGCAUUGGAAAGGUUAAAAAGAGCAAGGUUACAAAACAAGGCACGAUUCGAUAAGCAACAUCGAUUGAGACCAAAAGCAAUCGAGGAAGGUGACUGGGUACUUGUUUAUGACAAUAGUCUGGAUAAUCAACAUAGUACUUUGCGGAAAUUUUCAAAACGUUGGUUUAAACCAUAUGUUAUAACAACUGUUCAUGAUAAUGCGACUUACUCAUUACGGGAGUUAGAUGGUACAAAAUUGAAAAUACCAAUUGCAGGGAAGCGAGUAAAAAUAUUUAAACGAAGACACACAGAGAUGAAUAUGGAAGACCUUAAUGAAGGUACAGAGAUUCCGCAGCAAGAAGAUGAAAGUGAUAUGGAUAAUGAAGGUGACGAAGAUGAACUGGACAAAGACGUAGGGGAUAUCUUCUGAAUCAAACAGCAAUUGGGUAAAUUGGUGCAUACCGGAGGAUGCACAGGUUCAGAGAGGGUGGAUGUCGUGUUGUAACACGAGUAUACAGUGAAAAUAAAAAGAAAGGGGAAUUUUAUUAAUAUUCAGUUACCUCGAAUAUUGGGAGCAUCAACCAACUCCAGUACAAAUACUGAGUGGUCAGGUUCAGUCACUCCGUUACAGUCAGCCGGGGCAUACUGAAAUGCUCCGUUCGAUUCCAAUAACGGGAGUCAGUAGGAAGAGAAGGACCAAUUCACACGACGGGUUCGAGGAGCCAAUUGGAUCCAAUUUCGAGAAUCCAAUCCGGGUCCUCUUAUCCAAUAUGAGACCUGAAUUGGCCGGUCAACCCAAUGCAGUCUAAUUAUGGGAAAUCCAGGUCUUACUACGGGUCUUAGCCAGUCUGACGCGAGGACCAAUUUGACCCAAUUACGGGUACAUCCAGGUUACUACGGGCAUCUUUCCCAAUAUAGGACCUGAAUUGGUCGGGCGACUCAAUGUGGUCUCGAUUACGGGGUUCGAUUUUGUUUCAGGCUGUCCUGUUCUCUGUGCCUUUUCAGGGAACGUUGUUUUCGGUAAAAUGGAUUUCGUAAAGGUAAAAACGGAGGAGAAAGCUCUGACGGCGAGAGCCAAUUUCGGAUCCAAGCUUGAGGUGGGAGCCAAUUCCGGAUCUAAGACGGAAGAUUGAAGAAAUUCAGAGGAUAAGGUUAAGGGGGAUAUAGUUUUGAGGGGGAAGGUUUUUUUUCGGGGGGAAUCGGGGGGAGCGAGUUUUCAAGCUUUUGCAAGGUUACUAGUUCGGUUUUCAUUGGAGGUUUUUGGAAGAUCAAGGAAAUUAGAGAGAGGAGCUUCAUGCUUCGGGUCGGGGAAGGAAAGACAUAGAAUUUGGAUUUUUCUUCUUCGUAGAGUUUUGGGAAGGCUGAGGCAAUCGCUGCUGAAGUCAGUGUUGUAAUGGUGAAUCGGGAUUUUUAAAUGAAGUGGGUUUGAAUACUCUUGCCUGUUUUGUAAAAUCGAGUUACAUCUGUGAUUGAAGGAUUAAAAGGGCGUCUAUAGGAUUGAGUAUGCGGAGUGAAUGAAAUUUAUUGGGUUAAUCUAACAGGACAGUCAGUGGAUACAAGAUCGUAAGUACAAAAGGGUAUUGAAGAUUAACAGUUUGGGUUGUUCGGGGUUCUCUGUAACGUCUAGAGACCUACCGGCUGGGGCAAAAAAAGGACUACGACAAGCAGUCGAAGGGCAUCAGUAAAGAUUUACGGUGUAUUCUUGCAGUCGUUUAUAUUCCAGCAGUAAAAACUGAUAGACUGCUUGACUAUCGGCGGAUCUCCAUACUACCUUCUACAGUCAGACGCCCGGCACGUUCUCGAGCAGGAAAGCACGUAAUACGACAUAAGUGGUGAACCCGACGUGAAAGCUUGAGGU